rnacentral:lncRNA from 1 species
AGCCUUUGAGAAGCUCUCACUGGACAGCCAGUCUCAUGUCUCAGCAUUCUCUGUUGACAAUCAGGUCCAAGGCAGCAUAUCACUUGAUGGACCAUGGAUUGAUUCCUCAAUUUCCCUCCAUAGCAGAGAAGAAACAAGGGACUUUUCUUCAUCAAGCAAGCUUCUUACAGGACAUCAAGAUCUUUACAGUAUACAUUUGAACUGAUCAAUGAAAAUGAGGUAUACUAAUAAUACUUCCAAGUUGUUCUUGCUUGAAGUUUUCUGCAAGGAUGUUUUCUGAAAACUAUUUCAAAUUGAUUCUUGAAGUAGUAGAAGCAGAAAUAAGCUUAUUUUGUUGUAUAAUUACAAUAUUUGUAUAAAAUUAUGUGAAUAAGUGCUCCGGUUGAGGCUUGAUGAAGAAAAAUAUUUAUAUUUCUUUAUUUUUCCAACUUACUCCUAUGGUGGUAACUCAUCAUUCCACAGGGAGAAAUCAGUAUUUUUAUUUUAUUUUGUUCAACUUUAUUUCUGUCGUGUAUCCAAAAAAGUUGAUGAACGGAAGGAAAUAAAAGGUUUUACUCUAUUGGGCUUGAGCCCACUUGAAUUAUAAGACUAUACUAAAUCCAAAGUCCAUUUUCUAGGCUUCAGGCCCAACUGAAUUAACUGCGACCCCACCAAUUUGUCUUGGUAUGAUGUGGAAUGAGCAUCUCUACUCUAAUGGGGUUUGGGCCCCCUUGAAUUGUCACAUUGUUGAACCUAACUUAGACUCAGUCCAAUGCCAACUUGUUGAGCUUUUCGCCUACUUGAAUUGAGCGGGAGGCCCACCAAUUUUUAUUGAUUUGAGAUUCGAAGAAAUGAUGGUGACAACUAACAUGUGAGAAGAUGAUGUUUUCGUGGUAGAAAAUCAGAAAACUCCUUAGGGUUCUUAGACAAUCAAAGACAUCCAAAGGCACUUGGAAGUUUUUGGUCAGUAAAACAGUCAUAUAUCAAAAUUCCUUAGACAAACAAACCUUGAUGCCUGUCUUUCAAAUUUCCUUAGACAAACAAACCUUGAUGCCUGUCUUUUUACCAAUCCCCAUUUAUGUUCCUCUCAAUAUCUCUCCCNNNNNNNNNNNNNNNNNNNNNNNNNNNNNNNNNNNNNNNNNNNNNNNNNNNNNNNNNNNNNNNNNNNNNNNNNNNNNNNNNNNNNNNNNNNNNNNNNNNNCCCCCCCCCCCCCACCUUCAUACAGAUUACAUAAUUACAUUACUUCUAUCUAUGUGCCCAUACAAUCAAUUUAACCUUAGUCUAACUCUCCUUCCUUCAUGGUUCUCUAAACCUCACUUACAUUUAGUGUUUUAUUACUGUAAUUUCUUGUCCUUCAUGAUUUCUCAUGACAUUGCACUAAGAGCAUAUAGAAAACUCCCUGCCCUUCAAAAUUUUCCCUUCAAAAUUUUCCCCAUUUACUUUUCUUAGUAGUGCUUCUUGAUUUCAUACUUGUUUGCAGGGCAAAAGGAUUCUAACAUGGACCCAUCCUAGACCACUUUUCUGAAUUGAAACUAUUAUGAAUUCACUAUCUCUUGUUUUUAUUGUCCAACCCACUAACACCAUGAUAUUUUUUAAAUUAUAUAUCUAUAACCAUAAUAUCAAUUGCUUUUUAUCACACUUCAAAUUAUUUUAGGGAAAAUUCUAAGACGUAUGAUUAAAUCUCGAUCAAUGAAUGAAGGUAUAAAGAAAUAAGACAGCUACAAAGUAGCAAGAACUUUUUGGCCAUGUGGUUGUUCUUGAUUGGACAUCACUAGCACCAUAGCAAGAUCCUUAUCCUAGCUUUUGAGUUUAUGCAUGUUACUGAUAUAUGGAAAAACGUUUAUGCCAACACCCCACUGAGGAAGAAUGGGCCAUGUUUGUACCAACACCCAACUAAGGAACACCAAGCCUAAAGUUAGGUUUGAAAAAGCACUAUUUUUGGACCUUUUUUCUAAAGAAGAAUCUUCAAUGAUUGUACAGAGGCUGCUUGCUUAAAGAACAACAUCUUUAGGAACCAAAGGCUUUAUGAUUCGGAUGGCACUUUCAAAUCUAAACCCACACCUUGAACCAACUUGAUGAAAAUUUUUUUGGAAGAAAAUUAGGUAUUAUGCUUGAAUUUGCUCUUGAUUUCACUUUUAAUGGACUAAAAUCAAUGCUAUUCCUUGAAGACAUAGUCAAAAUUUUAUGUUGCUCUAGUGGCUCCUACAAUAAUUAAGAGAGGUACAGUAGAGAUUGAAGGGUUAUAGUAGUAGAGAAUUUUAGUGUGAUGAGGAGUUGAGUUCAAGUUUACCUUUAGGUAGUACCUAGGGUCCCUUAAGGUAGUACCUGAAGGCCACUAAGGUAGUACCUAAGGGCCCUUAAGGUAGUACUUAAGGUACAAUCCCAAAAAACCAUUGGUGGACUACUUCAACACUAAAGAGAACCACAUAAUGGGAUGCUCUAAGGGUCAUAAAGGAAAACCCGAGGCUUGGGAGAGGUUGAGUUCAAGUUUACCUUUAGGUAGUACCUGAAGGCCACUAAGGUAGUACCUAAGGGCCCUUAAGGUAAUACCUAAGGUACAGUCCCAAAAAACCAUUGGUGGACCACUUCAACACUUAAGAGAACCAUAUAAUAGGAUGCUCUAAAGGUCACAAAGGAAGACUCGAGGCUUGGGAGAGGUUGAGUUCAAGUUUACCUUAAGGUAGUACCUAGGGUCCCUUAAGGUAGUACCUAAAGCCCAUUAAGGUAGUACCUAAGGGCCCUUAAGGUAGUACCUAAGGUACAGUAGACCACUUGAGCACUCAAGAAAACCACAUAAUGGGAUGCUCUAAUGGUCACAAAGGAAGACUUGACUCUUAGGAGAGGUUGAGUUCAUGUUUAGCUAAGGUAGUACCUAGGGGUCUCAGUUCCUAUUUUGAGGCCCAAAAUCACAUAAUCAAAGAAAUAGAUAUACAGUCAAACUCUAAACCACUAAACAAAAGUAAAAAAGUGAAAUAGUAAUAAUAAUACAUAACACUUACAAAUGAGUUAAGAAUUCACCUCAUAAACAAAAGUAGCAAAAUUUUAGGCCAUGAGAGAUUAAAAAAGGUUAGUGAAUUCUAUAUUAUAGUAUUAACAGUGUGUGCAGAAUGGUCAUCUUUAAUAACCCAUUUAGGAGUGGGGGAAAGUGUAACCAACCAUAACAAAAACAUCCAUGGCACGGGACUUGAGUUUUGGGUUCUUCUCCAAAGAAAUCAUUUACUAUUUUAAGAAUGACAACAGUUUCUGACCUAAUGAGCUCUAUAUACUCACCAAACUCAUAGCAAAGCUGGAGGGAAUAAAUGGUAAACAUUAUAAACAAAUUUCACGAACUAAACUCAGUAAGAGCAUUCAACUUUAAACAUGUGUAGUAACUGAUACCAUAACUAUAUGCCCAAACAAAAUAAAUAAAGAGUAACAUACAAAGCCAAAAACUAAGAUGAUACGUAAUUAUUUACACUGUUAACAAAAAGCAAUUAAAUUAUACUAUAUAAAUUGGUAUAACCAUUGAGGUUUAUAAAGAUCUGUAUCUUAUCUUCAUUAAUCAGUUUGGCAAUCAUAUUAGAUGACAUAGCAAAAACAUCUAAAUGUGCUUAGCUUCUGACUGAAUACGAUGUCUCUAUUCAGUUCAAUCAUUUAGACUAACUACAUAACAGAACACCUAUCACACAAAAAUGACAGGAAAAAAGAAGUUUUUACAUUCUAAUGCAUAUGGCAGUGAGAUCAGGUUCUUAGAUUGGGAAUGUCGAAUUGUUCACUAGCAACAAACCUUAACAUUUUCUUUCUGGUGCAUACCAAAUACAGAGGCCAUGAGGUAUGAUAGGGAGUGAUUACUAAAGUCAUUGCUUAAAUUCCUACAAAAGUAGAAAAACGAUUAUAAGAUACAGAAACAAUGAAAUGAAAGAAUUCACAUGAUACAACACAACUUUACUUCCUACGGAAGCAUCAAGUAAGAUGUCUUUUGCUUUAUUCGCUCAUCUUCUGGAAGCAGAAAAGGACUGGGAUGUUAUCCAUCACACUCCUCCAUUUUGGAAAUGUUUUUGUGAAUUAUUUGGAUUUUAAAUUUAGAACCGCAGAGGUUUAGGCUUUGAACAUUGAGAGAGGUAACAGAGAAAGGGGGAAGCGUUGGAUUUAGAGGUGGCAAUAGAAAAUGCGGCGACAACAGUGAGGAAGAGGUGCUGCCCAUGGUGGGCGUGACAAUGAGCGGGAGAUAGAUGAUUUGAGGGGAAUGCUUGAGUUUCAUGCUUGAGUUUCUUUCGUUGAAUCAACCGUAACAGGUUCAAGUUAGGGCAAAAUGAGAGGAAGACAAAAAUCUUGUUUUAGAAAUAGGAAAAUUUCAAAUAACACUCUGUUCAAAUGAUGAAGAAGUCGAUGAAAGAGAGAAAUGUUGAUUGGGAAAUUUCAGACUGCAAAAAUGCAUGGAUGCUGAUGUGGAGAUUGGGUAAUGGUAAACUGGGUAUAAAAAUACCACUCAGCACAGAGUGCAUAAAAAUCAUAUAUUUUUUCAUAUUAAUGGGGGAAUAUUGGAUUUCCAAUUUUUAGGUUCAGAAAAAGCUAUUAUGUCCAAAUGGGCGGGCCAAAACACAACUUUCCCUUGUUAUUUUCCACAUUGUGACAUGACGUGAGUCCUUCCCCUUGGUCCUUUUGGACGCUCCUUGUAUUCAGUGGCAAAUUAGUACGGUUGACUAGUCCACAACCUUUGUUCAUCGUAUCUAGUUUGUUUCCAAAGAUUGAACGACAAAAUUCUCCUUUGUUUUAUUUAUAGCUAAAUAUAAAAAUAAUAAUAAAAAAUCAUUAAUAUUUACUAAGUAUUCAUUCAAUAAAAAAUAAUGGUGAUGAUAAAAGUGGGAGUCCAAUUAGAAUAUUUAAAUAGAGAAAUUUUCAAAUAUCCACACAUUUUAGUAUUAGACAAUUCAUUACAAUAUACUUUCUUUUUAUUUAAUAAUAUAUUUUCUUUCUAUUUUUAAAUUCAUCUAAUUAGUUGUAAUUUCCAAUUUUUGUGUUUUAGGCUAAUUGUAGGAUUGUUUUCUAUUUUUGUGUUUUGGGUAGACUGUUUCCUAUUUUUGUGUUUUAGGUUUGUGUAUAUAUAUUCAUUUUUAAUCAAUGAAAAAGUCAAACCAUUGUUUCUCAAUAAUCAUCUCUCUACUUUAACAUGGUAUCCAGGGCUUAAUCUUCUUGGGCGUAUUUUUUUUUUCCCUUCUCCUCAAUGGCUUUUGGUGCAUCAUUCUCUUCCACCAAUGAUCCUAUCACCAUCCAAAACUCCUAAGAUCGUCAACAUUCCCUUUUUACAAUCAAUCUUUCCAAUAUCACCAAAUUGUCAUCCACCAAUUAUCUCACAUGAAGCCUUCAAAUCCAAUAUUUUUUUGAAGGUUAUGAUCUUCAUCACUUCAUUGAUGGCGCUCAUACUCCACCACCACCCACCGUCACCGUCACUAGUGUUGCAUCCCCAAAUCCGACAUACACAACCUAGAAACGUCAGGAUCGUCUCAUCUCUAGCGCUCUCCUUGGUGUUAUUUCCAUUUCACUACAACUGCUUAUUGUUUGCACCACCACUUCCCUUGAUGCAUGACAACCUUAGCCAAUACCUAUGUCAAACCAUCUCGUGGUCAUAUUAAACAAUUGAAGGAACAAUUAUAGCGGUGUACCAAGGGCUCUCUAACUUAUUGGACUUACGCCUUUGUCACUACUGUAUAUCCCAUCAACUGUAUGCCCACACCCACACUACAUCUCUCAUUUCCUUUUGACAAACUCUUUGAGUCUCCACCCAACUACACUAAACUUCGGGUGUUCAGUUGCUUAUGUUAUUCAUGGUUUCGUCCUUAUUCUCAAUAUAAACUUGACUCUUGUUCUACUCUUUGUGUUUUUCUUGGUUACUCUUCAAUACAAAGUGCCUAUAUUGUCUAUCUUGAUCGUCACCCAAUUUCCUCAGCAGAUCAACUUGCCGACGCUCUUACUAAACCGCUUCCAAGAAGUCACUUCCAAGAAUUAUAGGUCAAGAUUGGUGUCUCCUCUAGAGCUCUUAAUAUUUUAUAUUUCUAAAAGUUACUAUAAUAAAUUUUAAUUAAAAGAAUUUAUUUGAAGUGAUCAUAAAUAGAAAUCUAAAAAAUUUAGAUGUUUAAUUAAUUUUAAAAAUGUUUGAAAAUAAUUUAUCAACAAACUACCCUUAAAAGUUAAAACUCUCAAAUUUAAUUUAAAUUAUUGUAUUUAAAACAGUAUAAUUAUAAUUUACAAAAGCUUUGUAUAUUUAAACUAAUAAAUUCAACUAUUUAUGUAAAUUUAUAAAAAAAGAAAAAGAAAAAGUAAUGAUACAUUAAUUUUUAAUAUUUUAAGUUUAUAAAGUUAUUGUCUUAGAUUUAUAACUAAAAAUGUGUUAUAAAACAAAGUAAGAGAAAAAGAAAGCAAGAAAGAAAGAAUAAAAUGCAUGAAAAAACUCUCUUGAAUUUUGAUAGGGGUCUCUCCUUUUUAUAAAGAGUUAUAAAAGAUAUUUAUGGAUGAUCUUCUACAAGUUACCAUAGUGGUACAGAAUCUCAUAUUUUAUAACACUCCCCCUUGGAUGAUCAUAAGAGUAUGCCCCAUUAAAAUCUUACUAAGAAAAACCCUAUGGGAAAAAACCUUAGUGAAGGAAAAAGAGUACAAUAUUCUUUUGGAUUACUACAACUACCUUGUUAAAAACCUUGUUAGUAAAACCCUAUGGGAUAAAACCUGGAUGAAGGAAAAAAGAGUGCAACGUAAUGACAUUCUUAUCAAUUAGCUCCCCCUCAUGUAGACAUGAUUAUAUUUUCUCUAAUAGCACAACAUAGAGAUCUUUGUAUAGACGUAUUCCAAUGAACUUCUUAAGUAUUGCAGUUGACAAUACCUUUGUGAAUAGAUCUACUAAAUUGUCACUUGAUCUUAUUCGUUGAAUAGUAAUUUUAUCACUCUUCUAGAGUUAAUGAAAGUAAAAGACUUAGGCAAUAUAUGCUUAAUUCUAUCACCCUCAAUGUAUCAUUCUUUAAUCUGUGCAGUGCAUGCAACAUUAUCUUCAAAUAAUAUUGUCGGGUCACCUUUGAUAGAGGAGAGUCCACAUGAUUCCCGAAUAUGCUGGAUCAUAGAUCUUAGCUAUAUACAUUCAUGAAUUGCUAGUAUUUCUAAAGGAUUUGAUGAUGUGACCACCAUUGUUUGUUUGACAGAUCUCCAUGAAACAAUAGUACCAUUGCAAUUAAACACGUACCCUGUUUGUGACUUACCUUUAUGUGAAUCUAAAAGAUAUCUUGCAUUUGCAUAUCUAAGCAAUUGUUGUUUUGAUUCCCUUGAGUAAAAUAAACCCAUAUUAGUAGUUCUGCGAAGAUAACGCAAUAUAUGUUUGAUACCAUUUCAAUGUCUUCGAGUUUGAGUGGAACCAUAUUUUGCUAAUAAAUUAACAGAAAAAGAAAUGUCUGAAUGUGUACAAUUGGCAAGAUACAUAAGUGUACCAAUAGCACUAAGAUAUGGUACUUUAGGACCAAGUAAUUCUUCAUCUUUUUCUCAAGGAUAAAACUAGUCUUUUUUCACAUCAAGUGAUCUAACAACCAUUAGAAAACUUAAAGGAUGCACUUUAUCCAUAUAAAAAUGUUUCAAAACUUUAUUAAUGUAUGUUGAUUGAUGUACUAAAACUCCAUUUGGAAAAUACUCGAUCUACAAACCGAGAUAAAAUUUUGUUUUUCCAAGAUAUUUCAUUUCAAAUUCCCACUUUCAAGUAAUUUGUUGUUCUUGUGAGCUCUUCAGGAGUUCCAACAAGAUUUAAGUCAUCAACAUAUACUGUAAUAAUUGCAAAUCCGGUUUCUGAUUUCUUAAUGAAGAUGCAUGGGCAUAUAGAGUUAUUCAUAUACCAUUUUUUUAGCAAGUAUUCGCUAAGGCGAUCGUAUCACAUGUGUCCAAAUUGUUUUAUUCCAUACAAUGAUCAUUUUAACUUGAUUGAGUACAUGUUACGAGGCUUUGUACAAUUUGCUUCAUGUAAUUUAAAUCUUUCAAGGAUUUUCAUGUAUAUAUCAUUAUCCAUGGAUCCGUAUAAAUAUGUUGUAAUAACAUCCAUGAGAUACAUAUCUAGUCUUUCUGGGACUGUCAAACUAAUUAAGAAACGAAAUGUGAUUGUGUCCAUGAUGGGAAAGAAUGUUUCCUCGCAGUUAAUCUCAGGUAUUUGCAAGAAAUCUUGUGCUACUAAUCGCACUUUAUAUCUUAUGAUCUUAUUAUUCUCAUUGUGUUUUCGUACAAUUACCCAUUUGUACCCAAUAAACUUUACAUCUUCAAGUGUUUGGACUACAAGUCUAAAAACUUCUCGUUUUAUUAAUGAGUUUAACUCUGCUUACAUAGCUUUUUUCCAUUUUGACUAAUCAUUUCUAUGUCAGCAUUCUUCCACAUUUCAUGGUUUGGGAUCUUCAUCAUUUCUUAUUAUAUUGGAAGCCACUUGGAAAGCGAAAAUAUUGUUAAUAACAAUAUUAUUUCGAUUCCAUUUUUCUCCUAUGUGCAUAACUUACUGAGAUCUCACAAUUUUCAUGUAUAUGUGCCUCUUCGAGGGCUUCUCGUUCAAUAUGUGCCUCUUCAAGGGCUUUUUGCAUUAUUUGUGCCUCUUCUGAUGUUAUAGAUUAUCAAUUUUAAACUGAUCAAUCAUUUUGAUGGUCUAUAUUAGAGUGUCAAGUUUUUCUUGGGUUCUCCUCUUUCGGGGAGUUAUAUCCUUUGAGCUGACAAGUCUAUCACGUAUUAGGCGUAUCUGAGAUUCAUUUGUUAAUUGUCCUAUAGGGACAUCAAUUCGUGUUGGAGUAUUUGCAACCAGGAUAUAUGACUUUGUCACUUUCUUUGUAUCAAUGAAUACAUCUGGUAAUUGAUUUGCAAGAUUUUGCAAAUAAAUAAUUUUUUAAACUUCCAAUUCACAUUGAUUGGUACGAGGAUCAAGAUAAGUCAAAGUCAAUGCAUUCCAAUAAUUUCUCGCCGUUCUUUUGGAGCUGGAUCUUCUUCUUGUAACAACGAGAAAAUUGUCUCAUUAAAAUGAUAAUAUGCACAACAUGUCAUUCUACCUUUUAAGUGUAUAGGUAGACUAGUCACUAAAUAAAAACUUUUGAUUUUAUAAUGUACAUCCAUACGACCUUUUAUCGUACGAGACCAAGUUGGUUUUACAAGAUUCUUGUGGAUCUAGCAUCGUAUAAAGUGUCAUUCACAUGGAAUCAAAUACUACUAGUGACAUAGUAUAAACUCUUUUGGAGCCUUUAAUCAGGUUUCUAUCACCUGAUAUAGUAUUGUUUGUCAUCAAUGUUGUGCAAUUAAUGAGACAAGUGUUUCAUCAAAGUAACAAGUCAUAAAACAUUGUCAUAAAUACCUCGUUUUUAUAGAGUUGAAGAAAUAUUAUCAUAGAGAAAGAGUUAAAAUCAAUGCAAAAAUAUUAGUCAUUGAUGAUGACUUAAUAAGUUGUAUAAAAGUAAUGAGAGCAUAUAUAACAUAAUAAAAUAUUCAAAUUUGUACAUAACUUUAAACUAUGAACUAUUUAUGUAUAACUUCUAGUUACACAAUAUAAUUAAAAAAAAUUAAAGAAAUUAAAAGUUAAUAACUUUCAUAGUUUUAGGCCAUGAUUAUUUUGUCAGAACAAAAAAAUAUUUAAAUUUGUAUAUAGUUUCAGGCUUUGAACUGUUUUUAUAUAAAUUUGUGCAUAACUUCAAAUUAUGAACUAUUCAUUUUACAACUUCCGACUAUAUAAUAUUAUUUGAUAUAACUUUCAGUUAUACCGUAUAAUUAAAAAUAAAUAAUUAAGGAUCAUAUACAUAACUUCUGGUCUUAUAUUUGUAAUUUUGUAAUUUUCCCCAUAACUUUUGAUUAUAAGGAUUACACAUAUUUUUCAUAACUUCUGGUUAUGAAUUUACCCUGUAAUUUAUAAUUUAUCCAAUAACUUCUAAUUAUAUGGAUUGUGCAUAUUUUUGUAUUCAAAUAAAAUUAGUGAAAAUAGAGAGUCAAUGGGUAAUAAAGUAGAAAAUAAUGAUAUAAAUUUAUCACAUACUUUUUUAUGAAAAAGAAGAAGGAAGAGUCUCUGUAUUUCUCUGAAGAGAAGAAAAUCUUUUUAUUUCUUUUGUUAUAAAAAAAGAAGAAGAAAACAAGAAAGAGAGAAUAAAAUGCAUGAAAAAACUUUUUUGAAUUUCAUUAGGGAUCUCUCUAUUUUAUAGGGAGUUACAAAAUAUAUUUAUGGAUAAUCAUCUAUAAGUUACCAUACUGGUACAGAAUCUCAUAUUUUAUAACAAAAUGUUAAUGAUCGAUAUUUUAAGUUUUUAAAGUUACCAUCAUAAAUUUUUAACUAAAAGUCUAGAUUAUCAUAAAAUAAGUAUAUAAAUUUUUAUAAAAAAUUAAAGAAAAAUCUUAUAUUAUUAUAAUAUAUUACUAUCUAUUAUAUAUUAAUAUAAUAUUAUAGGAUAAUAUAUUAUUAUAUUUAUUUAUAAAUAUUAUUCUAAUUUCCAAAAUUACCCUUAAAGUCUCCCAACCGGAUUUUUUUUUUCUCUUGGGGGUUUUGCAUGGAUUUUCUCGGAAAUCAAAUAAGGAUGAAUUUUCUCGGAAAACGAAUGGGGUGGGGGUUCAAUUUUUUUUUGUUUUCCUUGGGGGUUUUGCAUGAAUUUUCUCGGAAAUCAAACGAGGAUGAAUUUUCCCGGAAAACGAACAAGGAGGGGGUGGGGGCGAGGGGCAGCGCGACAGAUCCAGAAAACACAGGGAGCAAAAGAAAAAGCAAUUUUUUUUGUUUUCCUUGGGGGGUUUUUGCAUAGAUUUUCUUGGAAAUCAAACGAGGGUGAAUUUUCCCGGAAAAUGAAUGCGGGGAAGGGAGAUCCAAAAAACACGGGAGCAAAAAAUAAAAAAGCAAUUUUUUUGGUUUUCCUUGGGGGUUUUUGCAUGGAUUUUCUCAUAAAUCAAACGAUGGUGAAUUUUCCCGGAAAACUAAUGCGAGGAGAUCCAGAAAACAUGGGAGCAAAAAAAAAAAGCAAUUUUUUUGGUUUGCAUGGUUCCACAGAAAACGAAUGUGUGGGGAAGGGGGGCGACGACAAUAGAUCCAGAAAACAUGGGAGCAAAAAAAAAAAAAAGCAAUUUUUUUGGUUUGCAUAGUUCCCGGAAAACGAAUGGGGCAGUGAUGGAUACUGAAAACUCAGGGAGAAAAAAAAAGUAAAAAAAAAAAAACAUAUAAUAUUUCAUAAAUUUAAAAAAUAAAGGGUAAUUAUGAAAAUUAAAAUAUAAACAGUAAAUAAUGCAUGAAACCUAUAAUAUUUUUCUUAUUAUUAGUCAAAACCCAUAUUUGAGUUAUAUGGUUUCCAAAACCAUAUAUUUCUCGUAUGGAAACCUAUAAACAUAACUCCUUUUUUUUUUUGUUCGCCUCUUAGCCAGCCACCCUCUCGAAGUAUUUGUGCAGCAACGUGUCCUACCCUCGCAGCCUUACCUCUCUCUUUCCUCUAAUAGCCAUCUGUCAGGGCCCAUGCAUAGAUAUGGUUGAUUGGAUAGAAUAUGCUGUCUCCAAUCCAAGUGGUCCAAAAAAAAAAAAAAGUGAAAAAGGGGUUUAUAAAAAUAUGGUUGAUUUAUCUAUUUAUAAGUAUUAUUUAUUAAUUAAUAUUAUAUUUCAAUUUUUUUAUUUUAUAUAUUAUUUUAAUUAAUUUUAAGUUAUUUAAAAUAAAUAACUUACAAUUAUAUUAUUGUUUUUUAAUAAUGAAUAUAUAUAUAACUCUUAAAAUUAAUUUAAAUUAUUUCAUUAGUAAAAAAAUUAAUUCAUUCAUUGUCUUUAAAAAGAAUUUUUUUUUUUAGAUUUUAGUUAGAAGACUUGUAAAUUUUAUUUUUUUUAAAUUAAUAAUAAUAAAUAAUAUUAAAUUUCAAAAUUCUUAUUAAAAAAGUCAAAUGAUUAAAAGAUAUGUAUGGACCCCACAUUUCGGCUCAUGGGUUUCCCACUCGAUGGCGAUCUCGAUUUUUAUUUUGAAAAAUGAUUUUAUUUAUUAGAAAAUGACUUGGAGUCACCACUUAUUUUUGUUUUUAUUUUUAAAGGGUAAACAAAAUAAGAAAGAAAACCCUAAGUGUGACUCCUUACUUCGGAAAAGGUGGUCUGUGAAAAACCGGAUCGGGUUCGGGGGUCAGGUUACUUAUCGAGAAGCUACAGUAAAGACCGUAGCACCCUUCUAAGUCCCUAAAACGGGUCUCUACUAAUAAAAUGAAGCAAUCAUGACAAUUGAUUAAUCGAGCAUGGAUACCAAAUGAAUAUCACCCGAAACAAAAUAACUGAAUGAAUAGGAGAGACAAAGAAUGUACCUGAGUGAUGAUCUGACUUAUUUCAUGGAAAACAAAUGUUAGCAAUUAAACACAGAAUAAUCUUGUGUGUAUUAUAGAGUGGAAUAAAUCAAUCGCGCGUGACAAACAAAUCAAUAAAUAAAUCAAUCAAUCAUAAAAUCACGUAUGUGGGGCUCCCACCAAAGGCCGAUCUAUCUUGCACGAAUUAAUCCCACAAAUUCCAUUAAUCUGGAAUUAUGAAAAUUACAUUCAUGCUUAUGUAAAGUCGAGAGGAACAACAGAUUAUUUGAAAACUAAAGUGGAAUUAAAACAACUCGAGUGAAAACUGGAUUUUUAAAGUUUAUUUGAAAAUUGAAGUCCCGAAGAUUAUUUGAUAAUUGGAGUCUUAGGAAUUAAAUUUAAGAAUUGAAAUUUUAGAAAUAAAAUUUGAAAAUCGAAAAUUUUGAAGAAUUGUUUAACGGUGGAAUUUUAAAAUGAAUAAAUAAAAUAAUGAUGAUUAAAUAAAUUGAUGUGAAAAUUAAAAUUUUGAAACCUGAAAUUUAAAAUUAGAAAUCGGAAUUUUGAAGAGUUAUUUAAAGAUUGAAUUUUAAAAAUAAACAAAUGAACAAAAUGAUAAUGAUUAGAUGAAUUGGUAUGAAAAUUGGAAUCUCAUAAAUUGGGGUUUAAAUUUAGAAAUUGGAAUUUUGAAAAAAAUGUUUAAAAAUAGAAUUUUAAAAUAAAUAAAUAAAUAGAAUGAUAAUAAUAAAGAGAAUGAUGAUUAAAUGAAUAAGUGUGAAUAUUUGAAUUUUUGAAAUUGAAAAUUAAAUGUGGAAAUCGGAAAAUUUGAAUUGUCAACAGAUGAAAUUUUAAAGUGAAUAGUAGAAUUUUUUAAAUUAGAAAUUAAAUUUGGGAAUUAGAAUUUUUAAAGGAUUGUUAAUAAGUAAUUCAUUUUCUAAUAAAUAAAAUCAUUUUUCAAAAUAAAAAUCGAGCUUGCCAUCGAGUGGGAAACGCAUGAGCCGAAAUGCGGGGUCUAUAAUAUGAUAUAAAUCAUUAUUAAUUAUUAAAAAUUAAUAACUUAAAAUUAAUUUUUAAAUAUUAAAUUAUUAAUAUUUAAAAAUUUUAUCAUUAGAAUUAUCAUAAUAAAUUUGAAUUUCGUAAUAGUAAUAAAUGAAAGACUAAAAGUAAAAUAAGUAUAAAUAAAAAAUUUAAGGCUUUGCCAAACAUAAUGAAAAAAAAAGUUAAUUACUCUUAAAAAUAUUUUUUCAAACAUUAAAUGAUAUUUUUCAAAUUUCUUAGAAUUAUUAUAAUAAUUUUAAGUUAGAAAAUUUUAUUUGAAUUAAAUUUUCGGUCAUUAUGAAAAAUAAGAAAAAAAUAAAUUUACAUGUGAGUUUCAAUUUUUAUCCGACAUAAAAAAAUUAAAUAUAUAUUUUUAAAUAUUAAAUUAUUGAUAUUUUAUGAAUUUAAUAUCUGGAGUGAUAGUGAAUGAGAAAAAUAUAAAAAAAUAGGAUUAUAAAAUUAUAAAAUAAAUAAAUCAACAUCAUAUCAUUGACCCACAUGCACCAUUAGUUUCAUAAAGUAACUAAAGCUACUUUAAAAUUUCAUUUUUGUUACGUGUCUGAUUUUCCAUGCCAUAAAUUUCCUGGGAAUUCAUCCUUAAACUCAUUUGAAUUUAUAAAAAAUAAUUUAAUGAAAAAGGAAAAAGAAAGGAAAAGUAAUGCGCAUGAACGUACCUUCGUGUUGUUGAACAUGCAAAGCUUCUCCUCUUUAAAAACCUCCCUUAAACCCCUCGCUCCAACUCAUUCAAUUCAGAGUAAAGCGAACCAGCCAUUGCUACAGAGCGAAUCCAUGGAUUCUUCGUCUCUUCUCCUCUUGUUGUUGCUGGGUUUCUUUUGUUUUUCUGAGUUCACAUCCCAUGAUCAACUUAUUCCAAAAGAUGAAGGUAUCACCACUGUAAUCUCACUUGUUCUUUCCAUUUCUGGGGAAAAUGAAACUUGGGUUUUGUUGUUAAAGAAAUUUGGGGAGAAAGAGAAGUAAAUUUGGUUUCGGAACGUGGGUUUUUUCGAGGUAUCUGUGCUUUGUUUAAUACUUCACUGCUAUAAUUUUUUGGAAUCUUGUGGAUUUCUCAUGGUUUGCGAGAAUUUUGACAUCUCUGUUUGUCUCACAGUUGUUUAAAUUUUAUCAUGCUCUGGGAAUUCUUAUGGAAACAGAAAAGCAGGCAUAUCAAAUUAUGUUUUAUUUUCUUUUUCAAAUUUUCCUCUGCUUUCUCUGCUACCAAACGUUGGCUUAUAUCAUUCUGCUGGAAAAUUGUUCGUGCCUCUGAGCCAUAGCGAAUUUUUGAUCUGAAACGAUAGGCUAUAUUUGGUUACCGGGAAAUAAGAAAUUUUAAAAUAUAUAAAAUUUUAAUUAAUUUAAUUAUUUUUAUUUUCUUUCAUAUUUAUACACUUGAAAACAAAUGUGAGAAAAAAGAUUUGAUAUUAAUUACUUUGAAUAGCUUUUGGAUAGAGUCCAGAGUUAUCAAUCCAUCAGUGGACAAAGAAAAAUAUUUAUAUUUGUAUUUAUUACCAUGGUGGCAAAUUCCAUUUUAUUAAGGAAAAUACAUAUGUUUAUUUUAGUAUUUCGACUUUAUUUACAUUGAAUUAUUACCUAUAUUGUCAGUGUUAAAGUAUAUUGUAUUGUGGGCUCUAGGCCCAGUUAGGUUACUUGUAUAGUACUUGUACUAUACACUUGUACUACACCUUUGUACUGCACCCUUGUACUACAUAUACAUGCCUCCUAUAUAAAGGCACUGAUGUAUACUCUUUUAAUCACAGAAUAGAAUACAAUUAUUCUAUAUUUCUAACAUGGUAUCAGAGCCACUGCUCUGACCUUUGUUUUUUUUUUUUUUUCUUAGCAGUCUUGUCUUCAUUAGUGUGACUUCUUUUCACUAAGCGCUUCCGCCAUCACAACUGCCGCUGUAGCCUCUUGUCGUUGAACCUCCGACGUCAUCCAGCCGUCAUCCCUGGGUUCCGGACCUGCAACCGCAGUCAUUAAGAAGUCUCACACUGCACAGACCACUGCCCUUUGCAUCACCGCUGCGAAUAUUGCUCCGAUUUCACUUUCGAAGGUACCACUGAGAUCGUCCAGCGCCGAUCUACACAUUCGUGGAUAUCUCAUCGCCAUCGGAGACCGCACGCGCCCCCACGCGCCGCUCAAAGAUUCUGCGGCGCCUCCACACGCCUCCACGUGCCUCCACGCGCUGCCACGUCAGCCCUAGCUCGUCAGGCCUCCACGCGCUGCCACGUCAGCCCUAGCUGCGUCAGCAUCCACUGAUCUGUUGACGUCAUCUCCAGUCGUUGACCGUUGACCGUUGACCAGACGUUGACCGUUGACCAGCUGUUGACCGAGCGUUGACUUUGACCGUUGACCGGACGCUGACCGUUGAGCAGCUGUUUCACGAGCGUUGACUUUGACCGUUGACCAUCCCGUUGACUUUUUCCCGGGCCAGGUUCUCCUUACUCAGUUUUUCGCAUAGAUUUCAUUUCUGCAGUCGGUUUUUUUGCCUACUGUGUCCCUAAAUGGAUAAGAAGGAUGUUUUUCUUCCUCGCCCCAUCCAUACUGUAUUGGAGGGGACUAAAAAUUACUUAUCCUGGUCUCAAGCUAUGCGCAGUUUUCUUAAGAGCCGCAUGCUCUGGCAUUAUUGUACUGGUGCAAUGACUAUUCCUGUCAAAGGAGCAAGUGAAGAAGAUGCUGUCUUUCUUAGUCGCAUGAUUGAAUGGGAUAGUCAUAACCACAUGAUUCUCACAUGGAUCCGGAACACUUCCAUUCCCUCUAUUUCCAACCUAUUGGGCAGCUUUGACGAUGCAAAAUCUGCAUGGGAUAUGUUGACCAAAAGGUACUCCACUACUCAUGGAUCCAUGAAAUAUCAGUUAGUGGUUGAAUUGCAUCAACUCAGGCAAGAACCGGGGCAAUCCAUCAAUGACUAUUAUGAUCAGCUUCGGUUCAUUUGGGACCAAAUUGACCUUUCUGAUCCAAUUUGGGAAUGCUCAAAAGAUGCUCAACAAUAUGCUUCCAUUAGAGAUGAAUUUCGCCUCUAUGAAUUCUUGAUGUCACUUCACAAGGACUUUGAGCCCAUUCGUGGUCAGCUACUAAAUCGCAGUCCUGCUCCCUCUCUUGAUACUGCUGUGAAUGAGUUGGUUAGAGAAGAAGCUCGUCUUGCAACCCUUCAAGCCCAGAAUAAGCUCAAUAUUUUGGCCAUUACUCCAUCUACUCCACUCAUAGAGCAACCUCAGCAAUUAGGUGAUUUUUCUGGCUCUAACAAUCGUCGCAAGCAAAACAACAAGAAGUUCUGCAACUAUUGCAAGCGUCCUGGCCACACCAUUGAGACUUGUUACCAUCGUAACAAAUCUACUGCUGCUUGAGCACAACAAACUUGAGCCUCGAUCUAGACUCUGUUGUUUUCUUGGUUAUGGCGAAACUCAAAAGGGGUAUAGGUGUUAUGAUCCUGUUUCUCAUCGUCUUCGCGUUUCUCGUAAUGUUGUCUUUUGGGAACAUCGAUUGUUUGUUGAACUCUCUCACUUUCGUUCUUCCUUGACUAACUCCUCUGUUUUAGAAAUCUUUCCCGAUGAGUCUUCUGCAAAUACUCUUGAUCUUCAUUUAGACUUCUCUCCAGAUAUCUUUGAUGCUUCUCCUAGACAGGUUGCAGAUGAACAGAUUAUUCACGAGCUACCCCACUUUGAGCCUGGGUCCCCUGCUCCUGCUCUGCCUGAAGAUCCUCCACAAGACAUUCCACCUCGCCACUCAACCCGGGUAAGAUCCAUUCCUCCACACCUCCUUGACUAUCAUUGUUACACUGCCCUUGCUACACUUCACGAGCCUCAAACCUAUCGUGAGGCCUCUACUGACCCUUUAUGGCAGAUUGCAAUGAAAGAGGAACUUGAUGCAUUAACCAAAAAUCAUACUUGGGACCUGGUUACUCUCCCUCCUGGACAGUCUGUGGUUGGUUGUAAGUGGAUCUAUAAGAUCAAGACUCGCUCUGAUGGAUCCGUUGAGCGCUAUAAGGCUCGUUUUGUUGCCAAAGGUUUUACACAAGAGUAUGGGAUUGAUUAUGAAGAGACGUUUGCUCCAGUUGCUCGUAUCUCAUCUGUUCGUGCUCUCUUAGCUGUUGCUGCUGCUCGUAAAUGGGAUCUUUUUCAGAUGGAUGUUAAAAAUGCCUUCCUUAAUGGGGAUCUGAGUGAAGAAGUCUAUAUGCAACCUCCUCCUGGUCUCUCUAUUGAAUCAAACAAAGUUUGUCAUCUUCGACGUGCACUUUAUGGUCUCAAACAAGCCCCACGUGCUUGGUUUGCCAAGUUCAGCUCCACUAUUUUUCGCUUGGGUUACACCGCCAGUCCAUAUGAUUCUGCCUUAUUUCUUCGUCGUACUGAUAAAGGCACUAUUUUGCUUCUUCUCUAUGUGGAUGAUAUGAUCAUAACUGGUGAUGACCUUAGUGGCAUUCAAGAACUCAAGGAUUUUCUCAGUCAGCAGUUUGAGAUGAAAGAUCUUGGACAUCUCAGCUAUUUCUUGGGUCUUGAAAUUACUCAUUCCACAGAUGGUCUUUAUAUUACUCAAGCCAAGUAUGCUUCUGACCUGUUGUCUCAAGCUGGGCUCACUGACAGCAAAACAGUUGACACUCCAGUUGAACUUAAUGCGCAUCUGACACCCUUGGGGGGGAAACCAUUGUCUAAUCCUUCUCUUUAUAGACGAUUGGUUGGCAGCUUAGUUUACCUCACAGUUACUCGUCCAGACAUCUCCUAUGUUGUUCAUCAGGUGAGCCAGUAUUUGUCUGCUCCACGAUCAACUCACUAUGUUGCUGUUCUGCGCAUUCUUCGAUACCUGAAGGGUACUCUUUUUCAUGGCCUUUUCUACUCAGCUCAGUCUCCUCUUAUACUCCGUGCAUUCUCAGAUGCUGAUUGGGCAGGAGAUCCUACUGAUCGCAGGUCCACUACAGGUUAUUGCUUCCUCCUUGGUUCUUCUUUGAUUUCUUGGCGAAGUAAGAAACAAACCUUUGUGGCCCGCUCCAGUACUGAAGCAGAAUAUCGUGCCCUUGCUGAUACCACAUCUGAGCUCCUUUGGCUAAGAUGGCUUCUUAAGGAUUUGGGUGUAUCCACCUCCUCUGCUACUCCUCUUUAUUGUGACAACCAGAGUGCUAUUCAUAUUGCUCACAAUGAUGUCUUUCAUGAACAGACUAAACACAUCGAGAUUGAUUGUCAUUUUAUCCGUUAUCAUCUUCUCCAUGGUGCUCUUAAGCUUUUCUCCGUCUCCUCCAAAGAUCAACUUGCAGAUAUCUUCACCAAGUCUCUUCCUAAGAGACGCACUCGUGAUUUAGUUGACAACCUCAAGUUGGUCUCAUAUCCACCUUGAAGUUGAGGGGGGCUGUUAAAGUAUAUUGUAUUGUGGGCUCUAGGCCCAGUUAGGUUACUUGUAUAGUACUUGUACUAUACACUUGUACUACACCUUUGUACUGCACCCUUGUACUACACAUACAUGCCUCCUAUAUAAAGGCACUGAUGUAUACUCUUUUAAUCACAUAAUAGAAUACAAUUAUUCUAUAUUUCUAACAGUCAGGAAAUGGUAGAAAAAGAAGGAAAAGGAACAGUACCAUGUCCACUUGAAUUGUCAGACCAUAUUGAAGUCAUCUCUGAGUCAGUCCCAGGUCCACUUGCUAGACUUUGGGCCUACCUGAAUUAAUCUUUAGGCCCACCAAUUUGUCUUGAUUCCAUGGUUGCGUGGAAUAAGGAGAUCGGGUUGCGUGUGGAAAAUUGGAUGAGUUACGGAUUGUUGUUGAUUGGUAGUGUCAGUGUGAUAUCAACUGGUCUUCAAUAUCAAAGGCAGAAGAAGAACGUCGAUAUGGACAGGUCUUGACCAUAUGAAAUGCAUAUUUUUGGACUAAAUACAUUUGCCCUUGUUUGCAAUUGUUUUUGAAAAUAAUUAUGAAAAAUAGGCCGUAUUUGUCAAUUGUUUUUUUUUUUAAAACAUUUUUUUUGUUCUUUAGGAAAAAAUGAAAAAGAAAAUAUGUUUUACAACCAAAAAACAAAAAAUGAAAAAUAAAUUUAUGUUAUUAAAAACUAAAAAUAAGAUAUUUUUAGAAAAUAUCUUUUAUUGACUUCACUUAUUUUCGUUUUAUAAAAAUUAAUUAUACAAAUAUAAAAAUUUAAAGCAAUAUAGAUAAAAAUUAUUUUAAAAAUAUAAAAAAAAAUAUGUCAACGGUUUAGUUCUUAAAGAUACUUUUGUACUACAAAAUAUUAUAAAACAAUUUUGAGAAAUAAUUUUUCGAAACUAUUUUCGAAAACACUUCCCAAAUAAAGCUUAGCUUUUGAAAACUAUUUUAUAAUGAUUUGUUAGAACAAAAUUUUGCUUUGAAACUUAAAACAUUUUAAACCGGUUUUCUAUGUUUUGAAAAAUAGUUUUUGUAAAACAAAAUUUUGUUUGGGAAUUUAAAAUAAUCUAAAUCUAUUUUUUAAAAUAACUUUUAUAUAUAGUGCUUCGUUUUAAUCACUCUCCAUAUUUGUAUAAUUGUUUUUUAAAACAUCUCUAAAAAAGCAAUUAAAAUCACCUUAAAGAUGUUAUAAAAAAAUACCAUAUUUUUUGUUUUUUUGAUUGUCAAACACGUUUUUUUUUUUUUUUUUUUUUAAUUCUUGAAAACAUAGACAAGCAACUUACAUGGUGCGUCAAAGGAGAGGUCAUAUGCAAUUAAAAUUUAAUGUAGUAUAAAUUAUUGUCUUGUUUUAGUAGAGGUUUGGCUGAGUAUCAUCAAUAGUGCUUUAAAAUUUGGUAAUAUUAGAAGUCACUUUAAGAUUGAAAUUAAUUGUAGAGGAUUACACUUCAUAGAGUUGUUAUUAUUAGUCAUUCUUUUUUUUGUACAUUUAUAAAUCCUUAUAAAUGAUCAUUUUGUAUCUACUCUGUAACAGUGCAAACUCUUAAAACAAUAUCCACAAAGCUUAACAACAAAUAUUGGAACAUAAGCCAAGCCUCAUGCAAUGGAGGUUUCAAGCGAGCCAUCGAUGAGAAUAACUACAGCAAUGUCACAUGCAACUGCACCUUCAACGAAGGAACUAUUUGCCAUGUCACAAACAUGUAUGAUUUUCUUUUCUUGUUCUUCCCUAACAUAAUACAUAUAUAAAAAAUUCAAUCCAUUAGAUUAAUGGAAAAGUAAUUGCAUGAGUAUAUGGAAUGGAAUAUUAGUUGCUUAAUGUUAAUAGGAAAUAAUUAAUGACAUCUUUGGAUUACAUAGGCAUUAUUUUUCCUUUCUAUCUCUUUGUAGGGCCUGUGAUUUGUGUGCUUUGGUAAAUUCCCAUUGCAUUCAUAGACUAAAACCUUGUUUUCAUGCAAAAUGAAUUGCCCAAAGUCUAGUGAAUGAAAGCCUUGUCUUUGUUUUAUAUUGAUUUAGUUUCGAUUUGUUGAACCUGAUAUGCAAAUGCCUUAUUUCCAUAUCAAUUAACAUUUGUUGGUGAGCAAUUAAUUUUGUCACUAAAGAGAGUAUUUGUUUUUUUGGCUUUUUACUAAAAGUAAUUUGUUUUCAGAAUUUAGAUUGUUUAUUUUUCUACUUUUUUGGACUAAAAUACAUGAAAUGCAUAUUUUGGACUAAAAUACAUGUACCAAAAUAGGCCGUAUUUUGUCAAUUUUUUAAAAAAAUAUUUUUUUGUUCUUCGGGAAAAAAUGAAUAAGAAAAUGUGUUUUACAAUUAGGAAAAAAAAAGGAAAAUAAAUUUAUGUUUUUAAAAAUUAAAAAUAACGUAUUUUUAGAAAAUAUCUUUUCGUAUUUUCAUUUGUUUUCUAAUGAUCAUUUUAAAAACUAAUUAUACAAAUAUAGAAAAUAAUUAAAAAUAAAGUGUUACAAAUAAAAAUUAGUUUUAAAAUAUAUUUAAAAAUAUAAAAAAUAUGUUAAAAACGUUUAAGUUCCUAAAGAGAUUUUUGUACUACAAAAUAUCAUAAAAGUUUUUUGAAAAACUAUUUCUCAAAACUAUUUUUGUAAACACUUCCCAACCAAAGCUUAGUUUUUGAAAAUUAUCCUACGAUGAUUUGUUAAAACAAAAUUUUGCUUUUGAACUUAAAACAUUUUUAACCUUUUGAAAAAUAGUUUUUCUCUCAUGUUUUGUAAAACAAAAUUAUGUUUGAAAAUUUAAAAUAUUUUAAACCUAAUUUCCAUUUUUAAAAUAACUUUUAUAGUGCUUCGUUUUAACCACUCUCCAUAUUUAUAUAAUUAUUUUUUAAAACAUCUCUCAGAAAACAAUUAAAAACAUCUUAAAGAUGUUUUUAGAAAAUACCAUAUUUUUCUAUUUUUUGAUUGUUAAACAUGUUUUUUUAUUCUUUUAUUCUUGAAGACAAAGGCAAGUUGGUCAUUCAUGUAGCUUACAUGGUGUGAUCACUUCAAAGGAAAGGUCAUAUGCAAUUAAAAUUUAAUGUAGUAUAAAUUAUUGGCUUGUUUUAGUAGAGGUUUGGCUGAGUAUCAUCAAUAGUGCUUUAAAAUUUGGUAAUAUUAGAAGUCACUUUAAGAUUGGAAUUGGUUGUAGAGGAUUACACUUCAUAGAGUUGUUAUCAUUAGUCAUUCUUUUUCUAUAUAUUUAUAAAUCCUUAUAACUGAUCAUUUUGUAUCUACUUUGUAAUAGUGCAAACUCUUAGAACAAUAUUCAAAAAGCUAAACUACAAAUAUUGGAACAUAAGCCAAGCUUCAUGCAGUCGAGAUUUCAACCGAACCAUCGAUGAUAAUAGCUACAGCAAUGUCACAUGCAACUGUACCUUCAAUGAAGGAACUGUUUGCCAUGUCACAAACAUGUAUGAUUUUCUUUUCUUGUUCUUCCCUGACAUGAUACAUAUAUCAAAAAUUCAAUCCAUUAGAUUAAUGGAAAAGUAAUUGCAUGAGUAUAUGGAAUGGAAUAUUAUUUGUUUAAUGUUAAUAGGAAAGAAUUAAAGACAUCUUUGGAUUACAGAGGCAUUAUUUUUCCUUUUUAUCUCUUUGUAGGGCCCUUUGAUUUUUGUGCUUUGGUAAAUUCCCAUUGCAUUCAUGGACGAAAACCUUGUUUUCAUGCAAAAUGAAUUGCCCAAAGUCUAGUGAAUGAAAGCCUCGUCUAUGUUUUAUAUUGAUUCAGUUUCGAUCUCUUGAACCUGAUUUGCAAAUGCCUUGUUUCCAUAUCAAUUAACAUAUGUUAAUGAGCAAUUAAUUCUGUCAUUAAGUCCACUUUCUAGUGGCUGAAUGAAAUGGCCCAAUGCAACUAGAGCUUUCUUGUGGAUUUUCACUUGGUCAUAAUGCCAGAGUGCUAAAGGGUAAAUGUUGGUUCCCACACUAUUCGAUCAAAGCUUCAAAUGAUUGUUUACAUUGAUUAUUAGGUUUCCUGUCAUAACUUUGACCUUUUCCACUUUUCAAGAUAAAAUUGAAUGUCUAUUUUUUAUUAUACAUAUUAUAAUAUAUGGUUAAAAGAACACUUUGCAGAUCAAUCUAUAAAAGAUUUGAAAUGGUUUGAUUCCUCAAUUGAAUCAAUAGUAUCUCUAGAGUCUGCUUCUUCUCAAUGCUAUGCGUACAAAGAGAAAAAGUAAGAACUAUCAUUAAAGCAGUCCAAGCAAGACUUAGAGUGCGCUUGAUAAUGUUUUUAUUUGAAGUAUUUUUAGUUUAAGUGUUUUUAAGAGAAUUACCUAUCAAAUACUUCUCCAAAAAGUACUACUAGUGAUUUUUCAAUUUUUUAAAAGUAUUUGUCGAAUUUUGUCAAACACCUAAUUUUUCUUUACAAAUGCCUUUUAUGCUAGAAGUGCUUUCUCAAAUAGUGGAAUCAAUAGCAUAAGUCAAAAAAGGAUAAUGACCCAACACCAUUGAUGAACCAAUCCUAUAAAUCCACUUAUGAUAAAACAAGUGAUUUUAAGGGAAAUGUAGUUUUAAGGGAUUUUAAUAUUAUGGAAAAAGCUGAAGGUGCCGGUAAAGGCAUUUGUAGGGAUUUUGAUGCUUGUGUUGAUGGUAGCACUCUGGAGAUCCACUUAUACUGGAUGGGCAAAGGGACUAAUUCCAUUCCGGAAAAAGGUGUAUAUGGACCUCUUAUAUCUGCUAUUGCAGUGACACCAAGUGAGCUUAUCUCAUAUUCCGGGCUUUACUACUUCUCUUGCCACUAGCUUGUCAUGAUGUUUUAUAUCUUACUGUUCUUGUAGAAUUCAAUCCCAAGCCGGCGCUGUCUGUUGGAGGUAUCAUCGGCAUUGUGAUAGUUUCAUGUGUGGUCCUCAUAUUGAUUUUGGUACUCCUACGAAUGAAAGGCUACUUAGGAGGAAAAGACCUUGAAGAUAGAGGUGAGAUUAAUCAUGCAGGAAAUUUGAGACUGUAAUGCCUUACCUCUUUGAAAUAUUGACAAUACUUUGGAAAUAUUUGGAACUCUCUGUGCUUGUUUUUCACCAAUUUUAUUUCACUUGUUACAGAACUACGUGAGCUAGGGACUGGUUAUUUUAGUUUACGACAGAUCAAAGCUGCUACCAAUAACUUUGACUCUGCAAAUAAGAUUGGUGAAGGUGGAUUUGGGCCAGUUUACAAGGUAGUUACAGAUUUGGAUUUUCCUUUAACAACUGUAUGCUAAAGCAGUGAUUAAGAGGGAAAUGCAAUACUUUUCUGCAGCUAUCUCACAUCCUUACAUUAUCUGAAUUCAUGAUCCAAAAUUUUGUCCUGCUUGAUCUUAGGGUGUACUGUCAGAUGGUUCAGUAAUUGCUGUUAAGCAGCUCUCUUCUAAAUCGAAGCAAGGGAACCGAGAAUUUGUAAAUGAAAUAGGCAUGAUAUCUGCCUUACAACACCCAAAUCUUGUGAAGCUUUAUGGCUGUUGUAUUGAAGGGAACCAGUUGUUGCUCAUAUACGAAUAUUUGGAAAACAAUUGUCUUGCACGUGCACUUUUUGGUAAAUGCUUCACUAGAAUUUUGUAUUUCAUUUUAUUAUAUUUCAACAAUGAAUAUUAUGACUUAAGCCUCUCCCUGGACCACUUGUAGGUCGAGAUGAACAGCGGCUAAAUUUGGACUGGCCAACUAGGAAGAAGAUAUGCUUGGGGAUAGCAAGGGGAUUGGCAUAUCUUCAUGAGGAGUCAAGAUUGAAAAUUGUUCAUAGAGAUAUAAAGGCAACAAAUGUGCUGCUUGAUAAGAAUCUAAAUGCUAAGAUAUCCGACUUUGGCUUGGCUAAGCUGGAUGAAGAUGAGAACACCCAUAUCAGCACACGGAUAGCUGGAACGAUGUGAGUGUUUUUGCUCAUUUCCUCCUUUUAUUAGCUUCCCUAUAUCAAAUUUGUAUAUGAUAUAAGAUUAUGACUUUGGCACUGAAAAUGUGGAGAUUAAUUUCUUCUAUGCAUUUGAAUCUAUGUCAGAUAAAUAAAAAAAUUGAUACAGUGAGAUGGAACUGACCUUGAUUGAUGGAAAACUUAAUGAAAUGCUCAAGUAUGGAAUUUCCAACUAGCAGUUGUUUUUUCCAUUUUAGGUUUAAAAAGCUCAUUUACUUCAUUGUUUAUUCUGUAAAGUCGAUUAUUGAAACAGUUCUAGAAAGGUCCAACUAUUAUUGAGAAUUUGUUGCUACAAAAUUAUCCUAAGUUGUCAUAUGAACCUCAAAAGCAAUUGGGGUGAUCCUCUUUUUGUGGUUUUGGAGAAGCAGAAUUUAGUUAGACUGUCGAGUUUCUGAAGUGGGUUUCAUGCAUAUCCAGAAAAUUUUUCCUCUCAAACAUGGUUGAUUAGUUCUUCUUGUCCUCUUUCUAACAAUAAUUUUGUGCAUAUAUUGGUUAUAUGUAUAGCACAAAACUCACCACUGAGUCGCUGAUUUUUCUUCAGAGGACACAUGGCUCCUGAAUAUGCAAUGAGGGGUUACUUGACGGACAAAGCUGAUGUUUACAGCUUUUGGAAUUGUUGCUUUAGAGAUUGUCAGCGGGAAAAGCAACACCAAUUACAGGCCAAAGGAAGAGUUUGUUUAUCUUCUUGAUUGGGUAAACAAUGGAUUCUUGCUCAUCCUUUUUGCUUUAUUUUUUCUGACCAUAUGUGCUUAUAAUGAAAAACGUGUUUCGGGUUCUACAUUGGACUGCAGGCUUAUGUCCUGCACGAGCAGGGAAAUCUUCUGGAGCUGGUGGAUCCAAGUCUUGGUUCAAACUUCUCAGAGGAGGAGGUGAUGAGGAUGCUGAACUUGGCCCUCUUAUGCACCAACCAAUCUCCCACUCUCAGGCCACCCAUGUCCUCUGUAGUGAGUAUGCUUGACGGCAAAAUUGCAGUCCAAGCACCAACAAUCAAGCAUGAUUCUAUGAACCCGGAUAUGAGAUUCAAAGCCUUCGAGAAGCUCUCACUGGACAGCCAGUCUCAUGUCUCAGCAUUCUCUGUAGACAGUCAGGUCCAAGGCAGCAUAUCACUUGAUGGACCAUGGAUUGAUUCCUCAAUUUCCCUCCAUAGCAGAGAAGAAACAAGGGACUUUUCUUCAUCAAGCAAGCUUCUUACAGGACACCAAGAUCUUUACAGUAUACAUUUGGACUGAUCAGUGAAAAUAUGGUAUACUAAUAAUACUUCCAAGUUGUUCUUGCUUGAAGUUUUCUGCAAGAAUGUUUUCUGAAAACUAUUUCGAAUUGAUUCUUGAAGUAGUAGACGCAUAAAUAAGUAUGUUUUGUUGUAUAAUUACAAUAUUUGUAUAAAAUUAUGAGAAUAAGUGCUCCGGUUGAGGCUUGAUGAAGAAAAAUAUUUAUAUUUCUUUAUUUUUCCAACUUACUCCCAUGACGGUAACUCAUCAUUCCCCAGAGAGAAAUCAGUAUAUAUUUAUUUUAUUUUGUUCAACUUUAUUUCCAUUUUAUCAUCAUUGGUCAUGUAUCCAAAAAAGUUGAUAAACAAAAGGGAAUAAAAGGUUUUACUCUAUUGGGCUUGAGCCCACUUGAAUUAUCAGACCAUACCAAAUCCAAAGCCCAUUUUCUAGGCUUUAGGCCCAACUGAAUUAACUGCGACCCCACCAAUUUGUCUUGGUAUGAUGUGGAAUGAGCAUCUCUACUCUAUUGGGGUUUGGGCCCACUUGAAUUGUCACAUUGUUGAAGCUAACUUUGACUCAGUCCAAUGCCAACUUGUUGAGCUGUUCGCCUACUUGAAUUGAGCGGGAGGCCCACCAAUUUUUAUUGAUUUUGAGAUUCGAAGAAAUAAUGGUGACAACUAACAUGUGAGAAGAUGAUGUUUUUGUGGUAGAAAAUCAGAAAACUCCUUAGGGUUCUUAGACAAUCAAAGACAUUCAAUGGCACUUGGAAGUUUUUGGUCAAUAAAAGAGUUAUAGGGUCAUUGAUUGGAGCCAAAAUAUGUGCUCUAAUGACACAUAUUCUAUAUGAUUUGUGCACCAAAGGACAUUCAAAUCACCCAACUUGACCUAAAUCAAUGCUAAGACCCUAGCCAUGAGUUUAAUUUGUACUUUGGAGACUUAUCUUAGGUUCAAGGGAAGAAAAUGGUGCAAGUUGAAUCACUUUAGAUUUUGAAAGAUCAAGAAAGGGUUAAAAGAGGAAAUAAAUGAGUCAAGACUCAUGGACCGUAAGAAAAGGCAAGACGAGGAUAUCAUGCAUUUGGAAGAUGAGAAAUGGCCAUUAUGGAGUAAGAAAGAAAGGCAAGAAAGCAUGGGAAAUGAGGCAUGAAGCAAGAUUCAGCUGCAUGAAAAUUUAGAACUCAAAAAUCUGAUGACAUUAUAUACUCUGACUUCGAGAACAAAUUUAGAGCACUUUAUGGAGUCCAUUGUAUACAUACUAUAUAUCGUUUUGAAGCUUGGGAAGUCAGAAAUCCAACGCUCAAACAGUGUGCAAAUCGGAGCUGAAAUGAAGAAGUUAUGGUCAUUUGAAGACAACUGCACCAAGUUAAAGGGUCAUUUCGAAAUGAUUUCGAAAUUCAACUUAUGAAUUCGAAAUCCACUUCGAAAUGACACCAAUUUUGAAUUCACCCACUACCACUUUGAUGAUCCGCCUCCUUUACCCCGGGAAUUGCAUCUAUUCAACUUAUGAAUUCGAAAUCCACUUUGAAAUGACACAAAUUUCGAAUUCACCCACUGCCACUUUGAUGUUUCACAUCCUCUACCUCGGGAAUUGCAUCUAGGGCACUCCAUCUGCCCAAAAUGGACCCCACACGACUAGAAAUCACCAUUUUAUUAUUUUUUAAUCAUUUUUAGGAAUUUAUUUUGUAAUAAGUGGCCAAUGAGAGUGUGCCACAUGUUAGGUAAUUGAUGGUAUUAUAUAAACUCUCUCAAUUCUAGGUUUUAGGGAUCUUGGAUUUCUUUUUCUGGAGAGUUUGACACUGAAGGUGGAAGAAGACGAGAACUUUGGUUUGUUUUUUUUUUCUUCUUUAUUGAAUAUAUUGUUUUUAGUUUCUUUUUAUUCAAAUUAUGGAUUUUUACCCUAUUAUGGAUUGUGAAUGUGACAUCACCCCCAUGAGAGGCUAAGAGCCAACUUGGGACUUGAAGCAUGAAAACCUAAGGGCUAGGAAACCUAUAAGGACAAUGGGUAAAUUAUUAUAACAAUGAGAUUAAUUAUUGGUUGGGUGACAAUUUAUCAUUUUUUUUUAAUCCUAUCCUUGUGAGUUCGUUUAGGUAAUGAUACGGUAGGUUAUUACUUGAUAUUAGUGAUUCUUGGUAAUUCUUGAUCAUUAGUUAUCCUCGUUUUACCUACCAUUAUUUGCCCCUAAACAAAGCUAUAAGGAGUAGGAAGGGUUAAAAAGCCAAAUCUUAAAUUGACAAUCAAUCUCAUUCAUUUGAUGGUUUUAGGAAUCUGUUUUAAAAAGGAAAAAUUAGGUUUCUGAUGCAAUUUUGAGUUAUAGAUUUCAACUUGAUCGCGAGUGGCCAAGGAUCCCAAAACCCUAAGAUCAUAUUACUUAAAAUACCCUUGUUUUCUCUAAUUUCUAUACCCUAGGUUGGAUUGUGGAAAACCCCAAACUUAAAUCAAUUGAAUUUAAAAUCAAUAUUCAUUUUUUCUUAUUAAUUUAAUUUCUUUUACUUAGUUUCACAUUAUUCACAUAUUGUUUUUCACUUAAGGAUUUAAACAAAAACAAUUCAUUUAUUCUAGUAUUGACAAUUUUCAUAAGCCAGUCCUUGAGAACGAUACCCGGAAUAUUACAAAGCCAUAGUGACUCUUUCUAUAGUUUUUCUUGACCAGAGUUAUUACGUAAAAUGACUAAUUAUUUUGGUACAAUAGAGAAUUUCGGUCAGUCAUAUAUCAAAAUUCUUUAGAGAAUUAAGUUUUGCCCUCUCACAUCUUCCUUGAAUGGUUUUGUUAGGUAACAACAGUUUGUUAUAUUUCAUUGCUUUCAAUUCAUUAAUUAACACGAGCUUUGACUCUUGAAAGUGGGUCAAUGUGUUAAGUAUUAGCUUACUUAAUAGACAUCAUACAUUGAAAUAUGAUAUUAUUGAUUGGCUCAAAUAUUUAAGUGUUUCAUUUCUUCUUAGCAACUUUGAAUGAGGAGGAGGGGUGAAAUGUUUGAAGAAUUGCAAUAGUUAAGGGUCCUUUUCUCGUAUGGGCAAGGGAUAAGAUCCCACAGACACAACCUCAGUGAAUGUUAUUUUCUAGAACAUUUUUUUAUUAUCUUUUGUAUGGGAUUAGGUGUAUAUAUCUAUAUAAUUCAUUGCAUGAAGGUAUUUUCUUGUGGGUCAGUUAGGUUGGGUGGUUAGGGUUAAUGGUUGGGCCAGAUCGGUGGGUUAUGGUAUUUGGUUGACUGGUUCCUUGGAUGACAUUGCAUUGUGAAACCAACUGAUGUUGAAAUGUCAAAGGUAAGAAAAAGAAUUAAUCAAUGAUAUGGAUGGUUCUUGACCUUAUGAUUAUAAAUUAAUCUAUAAUGUAGAUUAUUAAAUUUUCAAUAUACAAAAUUUAGAUUAAAUAGGUCUCUAAGACAAGGCAAUGCAAUGAGGCAAACCAGGGUUCAAAGCAAGUCUUUACUCACUAGCUUUUAGUCCCUAACUUCUACUGCUGAGUCUUGUAGCAAAGUCCAUGCCUUACAUAGCAUGAUCAGUUCAAAGAAGAGGUCAUAUACAAGUCAAUCUAAUCAAGUCUUCUGUCCUGGUGAUGGGUCCCUCAUCCAAUAGAAUCAGAUCGUCCCUUUGAUUUUAUUGUCCAUCAAAAGCAAAAAUUAGACAUUGUCGAGGUUCUGAGGCAAGUUCAUGGAUAUAUAGAAAAUUUUAACUCGUAGACAUUGUUGAUUAGCUCUUCUUAUCUCUAUUUCAAAUGAUGAUUUUGUGCACACAUUGCUUGUUCAUAUAUUACAAGACUCAACAUUUAGGUGCUGAUUUUUCUUCAGGGGAUACAUGGCUCUUGAAUGCUCAAAGAAGGGUUGCUUAACUGAGGAACAACAACACCAGUUGCUGGCCAAAGUAGGAAUUUGAUUAUCUUCUCCAUUGGGUAAUCUUUUGGCUUCCUUCACAUCCUUUCUGGGCAGUCUUUUUCUCUACAUUUUCAAGUUUCAUUAUCAAUGUCCUCUGUAAUUAGCAUACUCAAAGGCAAAUCUACGGUCCGAGCAACGAGCAUCAAGCAUGACACAAUCAACUCAGGUAUGAGAUUCAAAGCCUUUGAGAAGCUCUCACUGGACAACAAGCUUCAUCUCUCAAUAUUCUCUUAGGCCGGUCAAGUCUGAGAGUGUUUGAAAAACUACAAAGAGAAUGCAAAUGGAAAGCCUUGAAUUAAGGUUGAGGAUCCUUAGCAUGAUCCUCGACACCCCCCCCCCCCCCCCAUUACUUGAUGGGUCAACGAUGGAUUCCUCGGUUUCCUUCAAUAGCAGGGAAGACUCGAGUAUUCUUCAUAAAGCAAGCUUCUUAUCAGGUCUGGAACAUUGAAGGUUGAGUCUACCCUAAUCUAACCAACUCGCAUCCAACUAAAAAAAAAAACGCAAGCUUUGGUUGACUGAUAAUGAAAACAUGAGGUAUGCUAAUAUUAUGAAAAAUGAUGCUUGAAAACUAUUUUGAUUUGAAUAUGUGCAAAUUCUUGUNNNNNNNNNNNNNNNNNNNNNNNNNNNNNNNNNNNNNNNNNNNNNNNNNNNNNNNNNNNNNNNNNNNNNNNNNNNNNNNNNNNNNNNNNNNNNNNNNNNNAAAAAGGGUUUUUUAAAAGGGGAAAAAACACCCCCGGUGGGGGCCAAAGAGAGAAUUUGAUUUUUUUUCCCCAGGGGGAAUUUUUUGGCUCCCUUCCCCCCCUUUUGGGGGCUUUUUUUUUUUAAAUUUUUAAAAUUUUUUUUAAAAUUUCCUUUUAAAUUGGAAAACCAAAAGGAAAAUUUUGGGUUGGGGCAAGGGGCCUCAAGCCGGACCAAAAAAAUUUGGGUUGGGGUUUAAAACCCUUUGAAAAGUUUCCCCGGGAAAAAAAAUUUUUUUUUUUAAUUUUUUUUUGGGCCGGUAAAUUUUGGGGGGUUUUAAAAAACCAAAAAAAAAAAAAAAAGGAAAACCCCUAAAUUAAGGGGGGGGGUCCUUUGCAUUUUCCCCCCCCCCCCCCCCCCCCCCCCCCCCCCCCCCGUAAGUUGAGCGUCGGAUUUAAGCGGACAUGAAACUUGGAUCGGAAGAGUUUAAAGAGAGGUUUUGACACACUUUUGGUGAAGAUGUCGGCAACUUGCAAGUGAAAAGGCACAUACUAAGUGCGAAGCUUGCCAGUGAGGACAAGUUCACAAAGAAAGUGAUAGUUGAGCUCAACAUGCUUAGCCCGUUUAUGAGAAAUUGGAUUGGAGCUCAAAAAGAUGUCACUCUUGUUGUCACAUAGGAGGAGAGGCCACUGUGGAAUUGAAACUUUGAGGUCACCGAGGAGAUGCAUGAGCUAAAGAAGUUCGGAGACAGUGAGCGCCAAAGCACGAUACUAAGAUUCACAACUGGAGCGAGAAACAGUAGGUUGCUUCCUGGCAUUCCAAGAAACCAAGUUACUGCCGAGAUAAAUAGAGUAACCAAAGGUAGAACGGCGAGUAUCAAGGCAACCUGCCCAAUCUGCGUUUGAGUAAGCAACUAAAACACCAGGAGCAACAGAGGGAUGAAAGGUAAGGCCAAAGUGUAGCGUGCCUUUAACAUAGCGAAGAAUGCGUUUGACAAUAAGAAAAUGGUCUUUAGUUGGGGAAUAGAGAAAUUGACCGACAAAGUUGACAACAUGAGAAAUAUCCGGACGGGUGAUGGUUAGAUACUGGAAAACACCAACAAGAGAUCUGUAAAGUGUAGAAUCCGAGAACAAAGGACCAUCAGCAGACAGGUGCUGUGAAACAACCAUGGGGGGUGUGAACAGGUUUGCUGUUAAGUAGCUGAGCUCGUGUGAGAAUAUCCCAUGCAUAUUUCAACUGGCUGAUGAAGAGGUCGUCAGAGGUGGUCGUUGCUUCAAGACCAAGGAAAUAACUAAGAGGACCCAAAUCCUUAGUAGCAAACUCAUAAUUGAGUUUGCAAGUAAAAUUGUUAAGAAGAGAUGAGUUGUUGCAUGUAAUAAUGAUGUUAUCAACAUAGAGAAGCAAAUAGAUUAUGUUAGAGUGCUUAUGAAAAACAAAUAGUAACUACACGACUGCAAUAAAAACUAAGUUUAAUGAGGAAAGAGCUGAGGUGCUGGAACCAGGCACAAGGAGCUUGCUUUAGACCAUAAAAGGCUUUUUGCAACUGAUAGACAUGAUUAGAAAAAUGAGGGUCAAUGUAUCCAAGGGGCUGCUCCAUAUAAACAUGUUCACUGAGAUGGCUAUUAAGAAAUGCAUUUUUUACAUCAAGUUGGCGAAUGGGCCAUUUGUUUGUCACAACAAGAGAGAGGACAACAUGAAUUGUAGUGGCCGUGAUGAUAGGGCUAAAAGUAUCAAUGUAGUCAAGACUAGGUACUUGUGUAUAGCCCUUGGCAACAAGACGGGCUUUGAAACAUUCAAUAGAUCCGUCAGGCAAAUAUUUGGUUCGAAACACCCAUUUGGAACCCACAAUGUUGGUGUCGAUAGGUCGAGGAACCAAAAUCCAGGUACGAUUGUUUUGCAAGGCUUGAACUUCUUCAUCCAUUGUAGUGAGCCAAACAGGAUUCUUAGCAGCAGAUUUGAAUCCUUUUGGCUUAGUAGAUGCAAGAAGAGCGAAAAUAAGUCCAGAGGAACCCACGAGUCCGAGAUGUGCCGAGUGGCGCGUUUUGAAGAUGUCGACUUUGGCUCGUGUGAGCAUAGGAUAAGAACCCAAGGGAACGACUGUAAUGGAAGGGCGAUCAACCAUGGGUAACUCAAUAAUAGGCUUCGGAGAAGCUGAUCUGAAGUCUGAGUGUGAGAAAGAAGGACCUAUAUGAGAAUUAGUUGCCUGCAAAGACUCAUCCACUGUAUCAAUACAAAUAAUACACGAGGUGGAUAUGAAUUGAGGAAUAUGUUGGGAGUUUGAUGCAGGGAAAGACAAGGGCAUGUCUAUAAGAGGGAGGCUCGAUUCCAAAAAAAUUGAGAUUUGGAGAGAGGAUAUGGGUUGAGCUUGGGAAGUAUGGUGAAAAUGAAAGUGGUUUUCGCCAAAUUGAGCAUGGCGGGUAAUAUAGAGUUUGGAGGUGGUGGGGUCAAGACAACGAAAACCUUUAUAAGAUGAAUGAUAACCCAUAAAAAUGCAAAGGAUGCUCCAAGGGGAAAACUUGUUAGUCAUGUAAUUACGUGAACAAGGAUAAACACGAUAACCAAAUGGAUGAAAAAUUUCGUAAUUGGGAGAGGAACCAUAUAGGAGUUGAAAAUGUGAGUUACCUUCGAGAAGCAGUGUGAGCAAACGGUUGAUGAUAUAAGCCGCAAUGCUAAAAGCAUCAACCCAGAAGUGCGUAGGAAUGUGAGAAUGAAAAAGGAGAGCUAGACUUGUUUCAGUCACAUGGUGGUGUUUCCUUUCGGCGAGACCAUUUUGGGCGGGUAUAUAAGGAUAAGAGAUUUGAUAAUCAAUGAUAGAGGUACUAAGGUGGGCUUUAAAGCAAUUGCUAGUGAAUUUUGUACCACCGUCACUUUGAAAAUUUUUUAUACGAGCAGAAUGUUGAUUUUCAAUAAACUUUUGAAAUUGAAGAAAAGUAUUAAAGAAGUCAGAUUUCAAUUUCAAUGGGUAAAGCCAAGUGAAACGAUAAUAAUCGUCAAUAAAUAAAGCAUAGCAUGUGAAACCCAAAUUGGACUGUACAGGAGAUGGUCCUCAUAGAUUGCAAUGAAUAAGAUCUAAAACCUUUGAAGAUCGAUGUUCAGUAUGAGAAUAAGCCAAACAAUGAUUCUUUGCGAUUUGACAUGUACUACAUAACGCAGGAGAUGACAAUAAAGAAGUAAGAGAAAUCUGUCAUUUUUUAUUCAGAAAAGAAAUAACAGAAUAAUUCACAUGUCCAAGGCGAGCAUGACAUAAAGCAUAUGAAGCGUGAAGAGAUUUAUUUUUCAGGACAGAAACAAAAGCUGAAUUUCUGCGUUCUAGCACAUAUAGGCUGUCAUCCUGUUUACCGGUUGCCACCACCCUUCCCGUUUGGCGAUUUUGAACAGUGAAAAAAUUAUUAGUAAUUGUAACGGAUAACGGAAAGUCAGUUCUUAAUUUACUAAUGGACAAACUAUUUUUAGUGAUGUGAGGAACAACCAGAAUGUCUAAUAGUUGAAAAUAAGGGGAAUGAGAAAGUUUACUAGUGUGGCUAAUAGGUAGAGACGCAUCAUUCCUGACAAUAACACAAUCCUUACCUGUAUAAGAAAUGGACUGGUCCAAGGAAGAUUGAGCUGGAGUCAUAUAGGCCGAGACCCCUAUGUCUAAAAACCAAGCCGAAGCCUCAUUUCUGAAAAUGGAACAUGAUGCAUUGAGGGUUUCGGCGAGUUACGCUUCAAGGGUUUGACCAUGGUAGUCAUAUCGUUGCUAGCACCGAUCCGCAUAGUGACCCUCCACAUGACUUAUUUGAUAGUGUGGAAGUCUACCAGAGGAGUGUCUUUGUCCGCGUCAGUUGUCGCCAAUGCGAGUUGGUUGAUUGUGGAAAGAAGAGCUGCACUUGUUCAAUUUUGCUAAAUUGCGAUUGGUGGCGAUGAACACCACAAGGGAUGGUGCAACAGGUUCUAAAGAUUUUUGGAAAAAAUCAAAGCUCUUUGCUUUUGGCACAAGAUCUACAAAACAGGGCAAAAGGGUGAGGGCCAUUUGGGUCGUGGGGAAGGUUGAGAAUUUCCAGCCCAGACCUCAGAGAAACCAGUGCACUUUGUCAAUGCCAUUGACGGGUCGUCCGAUUGCAUGGAGUUGAUCGUAGAGGGCCUCUAAGGUGCGGGCAUACUCCGAAAUAGAUCUGGUGCCUCGUUUCAUCAGUUGCAAGUCAUCAUUGAGAUAGAUUUCACGGGCUUUGGAGUGGUGGUUGAAUGUGUUUUCCAAGGCAACCCACACCUCGCAUGAAGUGGAGAGUCCCACAACUUCAGCCAUGGCCUCCUCGGUAAGGGAGGAUAACAGAAGGCUAAGGAGGCAUUGAUCGGUAUGUUUCCAUGCCACAUGUUUGAUGUUUGGUGUCUGAGAAUUUUCAAUGGUGAAAUGGGGUGGUAUUUCUAUAGUUUCAUCCACAUAGUCGAUUAGUUCUUGACUCUCUAAAAGGGGAAGCAAUUGGCUUUUCCAUAGGAGGUAGUUGGAAGAGGAUAGUUUGAUGGUAACCAUGUGGAUGAGGGUAUUGAAGGGGAGAAGAGUGGAGAAGGGUUCGACAGCCAUGGAAAGGGAAAGAAGAUCGUGAAAGAGAUGUUAAUCUAUCUUGCUCUGAUACCAUGAGAGUGUUUGAAAAACUACCACACAUUUUAGUGGUGGGUUAAUUUCAUAUAUAUAUAUACACACAUAGUUACAUACGUGAAUAUGGUAAUUACAAGUAUAGAAAGAAUCAAUAAAAUAAAACUAGAAGCUAUAAUUGUGGAUUCAAGAGAAUGCAAAUGGAAAACCAUGAAUUAAGGCUGUGGAUCCUUAGCAUGAUCCUCGACAAGGUCCACAACAACAUAUUAGUUGAUGGGUCAACGAUGGAUUCCUCGGUUUCCUUCAAUAGCAGGGAAGACUCGAGUAUUCUUCAUAAAGCAAGCUUCUUAUCAGGUCUGGAACAUUGAAGGUUGAGUCUACCCUAAUCUAACCAACUCGCAUCCAACUAAAAAAAAAAACGCAAGCUUUGGUUGACUGAUAAUGAAAACAUGAGGUAUGCUAAUAUUAUGAAAAAUGAUGCUUGAAAACUAUUUUGAUUUGAAUAUGUGCAAAUUCUUGUGUGAAUGGAGUGGUUCGAGUCAACACAGAGACAAGGAUUCAAAUACAGAAAAAUAAAAUUCUGGAUGACACUUACUAACGUUGGAUCCAUGUUCUUCUCUUCUUUCUCAAGUGUUAAUUGUUGAUUGUCACUUCGAUUUUUUUUAGACUAUUGAUCACAAUCAAAUUAAUUUCAAUAUGAAAAAAUAAUGUAAUUUCAAUAUGGAAAAAAUGAUGAAGGAAAAAAAAGAAGUUGGGAAAAUAAUUGUGAUAAAGUUAAUAAAUCUAUGCAUUUAAUUAAUUUUAAAAACAUGUGAAAAUAAUUUAUCAACAAAGUAUUCUUAAAAUUUUCAAAUUUAAUUUAAAUUAUCUUAUUUAAUAUAAUUAAAAUAUAAUUCAUAAUAGUUUUAUAUUUAAAAUUAUAAAUUUAACCAUUUUUAUUAAAAAAAAGUCAUGAUAGAACAUAAUUUACAAAAUUUUUGUAUAUUUAAAAUAAUAAAUUCAACUAUUCAUAUUAACUUUAAAUUUCAUAUUAAAAAAAGUAAAAAUAUGAAAAAAAAAAAAAAAAAAAAAGAUAUGAUACUGUAGACCUCAUUUUAGGGGCCUAUUUUCCUCACAUUCCUAUAGAUUUUUUUCAGGUGUCGCAACUGUGAGUAGCCACAUGUUGAUUCCCAUUUGGUUGUUAUGGCAUCAGGUAGUGGAAUCAACGAGCAAACAAGAGGAUGACAUGUGGAAAGAAUAUUCGAGAGAUGUUGUAGUCUGUUAGGAGGAGCGUAGGAAAGAGAAGAUUCAGGCCAGAGAUAGGUGCUUUUCAUGCUGGUUUGGUGAGAUUUUUUUUGGGAGGGCAUUCAUUCUUGAGGGGCAAAUGAGACGAGUGGGAGGGGGCUAAAGAUUUUUUGAAAGGAGGUUUUUCUGGCUGGGGUAACAAGCCAGAGGGGACAAGCGUUUUAGGACUAAGAGAAAAAGUAGAAAACCAGAGUUUUGAGAGGGUUACAGUGAGUAUCGAGCUGGGAGUUGCAGGGAGGCAUAGUGAGUUUUUUUAAAGAUAUUAUGUGGAGUUAUAGAGGGAUAUUCUUGCUUUCCUGAGGAGUAAGUUUGAGGAGAAAGAGGCUUUCAGGUAUGACCAUUUAUGAUUUUCCCGUAUAUUCUCAUCUUUCAUAUUUCUUCUAUCUUAUUCUCUAUGAUUUCAGUUUUGCUUGAUGGGUUGCUUUGUUUCGAUGAUCGUUGGUUUAAUAUUUGAAAAGCUGGCUGCAUUUUUGUGUUUUACCCAAGCAAACCUCUUUCAUCUUAACCCACUGAUUGCUAAACUCAUGGAUAAAAGAAUGAAAUGAGGUUAGCAUAUUCGUCAAAAGGUUCCCUGCUCUGUUCCUAUUUCUGUUCCCUUUCUCCUCUGUUUUCCUUUGAAAGAGACUUCCAAGCUUUAAGACUGGAAAUCUGGGGAGAUUGGCUUAUGGAGAAUGAUGAUGAUAAGAAGAGGAGGUUAUCAACUAUAGAAUCUGAAUCUGAAUCUGAAAAUGUCUGAAGCGGGUAUCAGUAGUUUUUGGGAUUCCAGGAGUUUUUCCUUGAGUAUGUGGGUAUCGAUGCUAAUAGCUGCAAAGUCCUAGCCAACAUUGUACAGUAGAGCCCAGAUGUUGCUCAAAGGGUUCAUGGUCAUCUUGUCAAGUACCUAAGGGCAAAUGGUGCUUGUGACCUAGGUCACAUGUUUGGUUACGCCGUCACGGAGACCCUUGAACUUAUGUCUCUAAGGCAUGUUCUCUCUACCAAGCUUGAUGCCUGCCUUACUAAGGAUGGGAGGACGAAACCUACUCACAGUUGAAACCCAGUGGUAAGAUUCAAGUCACUGUUGAGUAUCACAAUGAGAAUGGUGCCAUGGUUCCUCCUUCAUGUGUACAUUGUUCCCAUCUCUACCUAGCUUGACUAGACUGUCACCAGUGAGGAGAUUGCUGCCGAUACCAAAUAAUGCAUCAUCCAACCUGUUAUUCAUGAGAAAUACUUAGAUGAGAAGUCCAUCUUCCAACACCCAUUAAGCCACUUCUCACACUACUCAUUUCACCAAUGAUGCCCAUCCCUUCUAAACCCAUCAAACCCGUUUCAUCUCACCAUCACCUUCCAGCAACCACAAGUCUAUUCCUCUCAUAACCUAUUUCAUUAAUGAUGCCCUCAUAUCUCAUACUCAACAUAUCACCAUCUCUUCAUCUCCCUAACUUCUUUUACCCUUCCCACCGUUCAUAUUUCCUAACUUUUAUGCACCCAUGCAAGCCCUCUACGUCUAUAUAUCAUACCCAGCAUGCCUAUUGAACCCUUUUCUUUCAUCAUAUUCCGCUUCACAUCCCUCUAACCAUAUCCUUCUCCAUCUACACCACGGGCAUGGCUAUUAUUCCAUGCAUAUAUUCACACCCACUGAACCCUUCAAAUCCAUUUUCUUUCUCCAAGUCUACCCAUACCCUUUUCAUACAUCCUACAUAGCCACUCUUAUUUUUCCACAUUGCCCAUCCAUGAAAGCCCACCCUCUUGUUUUGAACCUAAUGAAGCUAUCAACAUGUUUGCUGAUGAAAUACUUGACAUAUGGUUUACAUGUAUAAGGCUCCUGAAGGAUGAGGAUGUUGGACUUAGUUAAAUGCUUGCCAUGGACGUCCAGAAGUGUUUUGCUCCCAGCAGAUUUGGAAAAGGCUUUCUAGCUAGUGUGGUACCAUCCCAGGUAAAGAAGUGCGGGAAAUUGUGUGGCAUCUGGAGGAGAUUUAGUCAGACUUGUUUUUGAAAAGGAGAUAGACAAUCACCAUGAAGAAAGACUACUUAUAUGCCAAAUUUUGUUGUUCUCAUAUGGAAAAUCUCAUAGUUUCGAAACCCCUGGCAAACCUUUACGACAAAGCUUGGCUCAAUGAAUUUUUACAGCAUUGGAGGAUGAGAUUUUGCCAACAAUUGGUGUCCUUUGCCAAUGGCCAUGUCGGGAAAUACCAGGAAGUCAAUUGGGUUGGCAGCAUGGGUAACUACAAGGAUGUGUUCCUGCCGUUGUAUGCAAAUAUGCUUGGCUUUCAUGCCGUCUCAAAUUGCGUUUUCAUUAGAGGAGGAAUCACGAACGGUGGGUCUCUACUAUCUGAUGUCAUCAAACCAGGAGAAACUGUUGAUUCCUUUCUCAUGGACGGUGGCUUCCAGGCUGCAUUCCAUGCUUAAGGUGUCAUAUAAGGAAGACCAUGGAGUCCUUGUAUUUUCACAAAUGACAAAACUUCUCGAUAUUCUUGAGAAUUAUUAAACCAUUGAAUUUGGGCCCAGAACAUUCGAGAGGGUGGAUGGUUCAAUUUCUUAUAGGGAAUUAAACCGAAUUCCCAACUCGUGAGAAACAAAAAUAGAGAAAAAACACACGCCAAAAAAAAAACAAUCACAUGCACAAGACAUUAUUUACGUGGUUUGGCAAUUUGCCUACGUCCACGAAGUUGUAGGGAUAUCACUAUUAUUAGGGAAGAAUAUAAAGUACAACGACAACGACUACAAUAUUUUCUCUUUAUAUAUAACACGAUAACCACACCACACUAAAGAACCUUAAUUACAAAAGAUGGUUCCACAAUGGGCUAAACGGGCCCAACAAGCCUUAGUAAAUCUUCCAUUAAAAAAACCGUGCAAUAUUAUUCGGGUUGAGUCGUCAAACUUGAUCAAACAAAAUUAGGCUCCACAAAGCCUAACAAAUCUCCCACUUGGAGACUAGUUCAAUCACCAACAUCAAACCGCUAUCCUCCAAGAAACAAUCCCUCAUCCCUGCAACUCAUCCUCCUGUCCUCAAGCUAGAAGACCAAUUGAAGCUGAUACGUUCCCAAUUGGUGUCUCAGCUUAUUCAUGUCCUCUCAAUGGUCCCUGAUAGUGGUGCCAUUUGAUUCGUGUCCAGUUGGUGUCCCUUGAUUGUGGUCCUCAGAAGGGAGCAAUCAACAAAAAUUAUAACCUAUUAUACCAUGUACUAGGAUAGCCUUAACUAGCAUAGCAUAGUGGCUCUAGGGUCGUUCACUGGGAUGGGUUUUCACUUCACAAUUGAUAUUAAUUCAAAGUUGAAUUGGUGCCUUUUCAUUUCAAGGUUAGCUUUAAAAGAAAACAUAAAGAUGUUUGAAAAGGGAUUGGUUUUAAGCUAACAAAAAAUAGUAACUGAUUUUACUUACAAAGAAAAGUGUUUCUUGGAGUUUAGAUCACUAGGCUCAGGUUCCUCAUACAAAAAGGAGAGUUCCAGUCACUUGUUUCUUUUCCUCGCAUUAGAGAAUUAACAUAUAGUUAAUUCUCUAACCGGUGUGAUACAGAUGCUUCCCUUUAAUGGAUUCAAACAAUAAUUCCCUCUCACUGAUGCAUCUUGCAAUGGCUCAUGUCUCUCACCUAGCAUUUGCCAUUCAAGGUGAUCCUUAACCUUGGAUUACCCGUCAAAAGCUCGCAAGAGAUAACUAAUGGAUGUCUCCUUAGAGUCCAAAAGCUUACCAAGUGUUGGCUAUUCUAGAAAAUCCUACCUUCAAACCACCUCCCAAAGGCUUGCAAGAGAUAAACUAGAGUAUCUCAAUGGACGGAGAUCACUUGUCUUACCAAGUUUUGGCCCAGGUGAUUUAAAGGCGUUUUAAGUUAACUAAAAAGAUAAAAACCAUUAACGGGUCACACUUUCUCUUCAUUAAAAACUAAAACAACAAAACUUCCAAUUUAUGCAUGAGGAAACUUACCCGGCUUUCUUCACUCCAAGAGAUGAAGAGCCUAGCCUCUCAUCCUCUGAGGAAAAAUCCUCAGAGUUUGAUUGGCUAGAAAGAAAAAUAAUGAGAAAACAAAAAUAUGAAGGAAAAAUAGAGCAAGUGCUCUGCAAAAUAUAUUUCUUCCUUAUACAAAAGGUUGUCUCCAAGAACAAGCUCCCGAGAGAUUGAUUAUAUCUUGUAAAGAAAAUUACAACUAUAUAUAAGAGGUUAUUCAUCCCUUUGUUCUUGCUUAAAGACUAAGGAAUCCUAUGAUAGAUGGGUUACAAGGAGAGUUUGGGGAUUUAGACAUCAAAUAUCUAAAGAAAAAUAUCUCAAAAUGUCAGUCAGGAAGCUUCAGGAGAACACCGCGGCACUGUUCAAAAUGGUUGAGAAAUUUUCGCAACAAAAGGACAACAUUUUUGCAGCCAAAGGCUAAUUUCGCAGUCGUGCACCAUUCUGCCUUCAGCUUGGAGUGAUAUGCUUGUAAUGGCUGUAACUCCUUCAUUUCAACUCCGAAUCGUGCACCAUUUGAAGGAUUGGAUUGUUGACCUCCUGAGCUUCGAAACGACAUAUAGUAUGCAUAAAUUGGACUUCAGGAAGUGCUCCAAGAGUGGCUAAAAUGACUGUCAUCAAGAAUGCUUCAUGACAGAUUUCUCUUUGCUUCCCCUCCUUGCAUUCCGGAUUUGCUUAUGACAAAGGACUUCAAAGCUUCGGUUCUUCAUAUUUCUGAGCUUUCCAUUUGCUUUGCCAUGGAUUCCAAAUAACUCUCCUUAAUCUUGGAUUGCUUUGGUGAUAAAAAAAGCUAUCAAAACACCAAAACUUAACACAAUUUGAUUAGAAUUGAUUGCAAGGGUCCUUAAUAUGUUAAGUGGGUUAAAAAGUAAUAACUACUACUCAAAAGUGUUUAAAAGAGUUAAUUACAAGCUAUCAAAUAACACUUUUUGAGUAGUAAUCAGAAGUUGCGCACAGCUUCAACUUCUCAAUAGUGACACCUUUAGUCAACAUGUCUGCCGGGUUCUUAGAUCCACAAAUCUUCUCAAAUGUUACCAGUUUAUCUUCAACAAGAUAACGGAUAAAGUGGUAUUUUGUUUGUAUAUGCUUCGACUUCGAAUGAAAAACCGAAUUUUUGGCAAGAAAAAUUGCACUCUGACUGUCACUGUGUAGAAUGCCCAUCUCCUACUUCUUAUCCAAUUCAUCUAAGAAACCAUGUAGCCAAAUCAUCUCCUUUCCAGCUUCAGUUGCUGCAACAUACUCAGAUUUUGUAGUAGACAAAGUAACAAUCUUCUGUAGAUUUGAAGCCCAUGAUAUAAUUGUACCACCUAGAGUAAAAACAAACCCAGUAGUACUCUUUCUACUAUCAAUAUCACCAGCAAAAUCAGCAUCUACAUAACCCUACAAUUUCAAACUUGCACCUGUGAAGCAAAGACAUGUAUCUAAUGAACCCUUCAGAUAUCUUAGAAUCCACUUAACUGCCUCCCAAUGCUGCUUUCCAGGCCUACUCAUGAAUCUACUCACAACUCCCACUACAUGUGCAAUGUCUAGCCUUGUACACACCAUAGCAUACACCAAGCUGCCAAUAGUUGAGGCAUAGGGCACCUUGCUCAUAUGGUCAUUUUCUUCUUCUGUCUUCGGUGACUGUUCUUUGCUUAGUUUGAAAUGACUCCCUAAGGGUGUGCUCACUGGUUUAGCUUCAUUCAUGUUGAACUUGCUGAGAACUUUCUUCACAUACUCUAACUGUGAAAGCUUCAAUGUACCAUUAGUCUUGUCUCUAAUGAUUCUUAUACCAGGGAUUUGCUUUGCAGCUACCAAAUCCUUCAUUGCAAAUUGUUUGGACAAUUGCUUCUUCAGAUUAUUAAUCUCCUCAAUGUCAUACCCUGCAAUAAGCAUAUCAUCUACAUACAACAGUAAUAUGAUGUAAGAAUUGUCAAAAGACUUAACAUAACAACAGUGAUCAACUUCACAUCUCUUGAACCCAAUUCUAUGCAUAAAACUAUCAAACUUCUUGUACCACUGUCUAGGAGCUUGUUUAAGGUCAUACAAACUCUUUCUCAGUUUGUAGACUAGAUUCUCUUGUCCCUGAGCAAUGAACCCUUCUGGCUGAAUCAUUUAAAGGUCUUCCUCUAAGUCACCAUGAAGAAAUGAUGUCUUCACAUCUAACUGCUCAAGAUGUAAUUUUUCUGCAGCUACCAUUCCCAGUACAAGUCUGAUUGUUGACAUAUUCACAACUAAAGAAAAUAUCUCUGUAUAGUCAAUGCCCUCCUUCUGGAACCCUUUAACAACUAAUUUGGCCUUGUAACGUUUGCUACCAUCAUGCUCAUUCUUUAUUCUGUAUACCCACUUGUUGUGCAAAGCCUUCUUCCCUACUGGUAAUUUAGUUAGUUCCCAUGUUUGAUUCCUCAACAAGGAAUCCAUCUCAUCCUUCAUGGCUAACUCCCACUUGCUUGAAUUCUCAUCUUGCAAGGCUUCAUCAUAACACUCUGGCUCACCACCAUCAGUCAACAAAAGAUAAUUUAAAACAGGUGAAUAACGCUGUGGAGGUCUAAUGUUCCAGGAAUAUCUGCAAACUUCAAUUAUAGGUGUACUCAGAUCUACCUGUGAAUUAACAUUCUCUUUAACUUCUUCAUCCCCUUUUUGGACAGUACUUUCAGUCAAUUCAUCUAACUUGACAAACUCAGAUUUCUUUUGAUCUAUCUCUAUAACAUCUGACACUACAGUUGACCUGUCCUUGUACAUAACCUGUUCAUUAAAUAUCACAUUUCUACUUCUGAUGAUUUUCCUGUUUUGUUCAUCCCAAAACCUAUAGCCAAAUUUCUCAUCACCAUAGCCAAUGAAAAAACAUAUUUUUGACUUUGCAUCAAGUUUACUACGAGCAUCAAAAUCAAUAUGAACAUAAGAAACACAACCAGAAACUUUUAAAUGUGAAAACUUCAUCUCUUUAUCGCUCCAAACCUCCUCAGGAAGUCUGAACUCCAUGGGAACUGAUGGUCCUCGGUUUAUCAGGUAAGCUACAGUGCUAACAGCAUCAGCCCAAAAAGUUUUUGGUAGUCUAGCAUGCAACCUUAUACUUCUAGCACGCUCAUUAAGAGUUCUGUUCAUGCUCUCAGCCACACCAUUUGUUGUGGUGUCCCAGGAAUAGUUUUCUCCAUCCUAAUUCCCUGUGCAGCAUAAUACUCACUGAACCCUCCAUCUAUGUACUCUCCUCCAUUAUCUGACCUCAAACAUUUUACUUUUAAACUUGUUUCUAUCUCAACCAUGGCCUUCCACUUCUUAAAAGUUUCAAAUACAUCAAAUUUAUUUUUCAAAAAAUAAACCCAUACAUUUAUGUUUGAGUCAUCAAUAAAAGUGAUGUAGUACCUUGAAGCACCAAGGGACGCAACCGGAGAAGGCCCCCACAAAUCAGUGUGUACUAGUUCCAAUUUUUCAGCCUUUGGUGUCCUGCUAGUUUUCAAGAAGCUCACAUUUUUUUGCUUUCCUAAGAUGUAACUUUCACACAUGUCCAAAUCAAUGGACUUCAAUUCUGGUAGUUUUUCUUUUGACAACAGCAUCUUCAUCCCUUUCUCACUCAUGUGACCAAGUCUACAGUGUCAUAGGCUUAUAUCAAUACUUGCAUCAGCAACUACAAUUGUGUCUCUUGGACAUGAGGUCAUAUACAGAGUACCAGUCUUCUUUCCACAAGCCAAUACCCUAGCUCUCUUUGUAACCUUCCAAGUACCACCAACAAAUAGUAUUGCAUGUCCUUCAUCAUCAAGUUGUCCAACAGAAAUCAGAUUCCUCCUCAGGUGAAGAAUAUGUCGAACCUUCUCCAGUAACCAAACAGACCCAUUGGGCAACGAUAUUCGGAAGUCUCCCAGACCCACAACAUCCAAGGCUGAACCAUCAGCCAAAUACACCUUACCAAAAUCACUUGCAGCAUAAUUCUGUAUGAUUUCUCGGUGUGGAGUGGUAUGAAACGAAGCUCCUGAAUCCAAAACCCAAUCAUCAAGUGGACUGUCUACUGCAAGAAGUAAUGCAUCAUGUACCUCUUCUGUUACAACAUUAGCAGAAUCAUCUUCAUUCUUUUUCUUAGGGCUUUUGCAUUGCCUUUUAAAGUGACCUGUUUUCCCACAGUUCUAGCAUUGUACUUGUUGGCCUGAUCUAGAUUUGCUUCUGUUCCAAUUAAAAUUUCUGGAUUUUGAUCUACCCUGGUUUGAAUUUUUGUCAUUACCUCUGCCUCUUGUCUCAAGGUUUAGGGCAGAACCAGAACCUGAAGUUUCGCCUGCAUCUCUUCAGCGAAUCUCCUCAGCCAUAAUUAAAUCUCGUAUAUCAUUGUACUUGAACUUUUCCUUUCCCGUAGAAUUGCUUAUUGCCAUCCUCAUUGCCUCCCAACUGUUUGGCAAAGAAGCCAAGACGAUCAGAGCACAAAUCUCAUCAUCAAAAUCAAUUUUUACAGACGAUAAUUGAUUUGUGAUUGUAUUAAAUUCAUUCAGAUGUUGUGCUAUUGAUACAUUCUCUGCCAUCUUCAAAUUGAACAAUUUCUUCAUCAGAUGCACCUUAUUGUUUACGGACGACUUUUCAUACAUACCGGACAAAGCCUUCAUCAAAUCUGCUGUGGUAUUCUCCUUUACAACAUUGUGUGCAAUAGACCUAGAGAGAGUUAACCUAAUAACUCCUAGAACCUGUCUGUCAAGAAGUAUCCAUUCCUCAACCUUCAUACUCUCAGGUUUUGUCCCCAAAAAAGGCAGAUGCAAUUUCCUCCCAUAGAGAUAAUCUUCAAUCUGCAUCCUCCAAUACGCAAAAUUUGUGCCAUCAAACUUUUCUAUUCUGGACGCCUUUCCUGCUUCCUCUGUCAUUGCUCCUACUCAAACCUAACCCUAGGCUCUGAUAUCAGUUGUAGGGAAUUAAACCGAAUUCCCAACCUGUGAGAAACAAAAAUAGAGAAAAAACACACGCCAAAGAAAAAAACAAUCACACGCACAAGAUAGAUUUACGUGGUUCAAUAAUUUGCCUACGUCCACGGAGUUGUAGAGAUAUCACUAUUAUCAGGAAAGAAUAUAGAGUACAAUGACAACGGCUACAAUAUUUUCUCUCUAUAUAUAACACGACAACCACACCACACUAAAAAACCCUAAUUACAAAAAAUGGUUCCAUAAUGGGCUAAACGGGCCCAACAGGCCUCAGUAAAUCUCCCAUUAAAAAGACCAUGCAAUAUUAUUCGGGUUGGGUCGUCAAACCGGAUCAAACAAAACUAGGCUCCACAAAGCCCAACAUUUUUGUGGCUGAUUGCCAAGCUUACAGUGUUCUACCCAUCAUUAAUGUUGAUUUUUUCUCAGGUUAGAGGAAGCUCGUUCAUGGGGUGUUAGCAUCUCAAUCUGAGAAAUCGACUAAGGCAGAGGAGAUGGAAUGAGACCUUUGUUUAUGUAAGCUUUAUUUUCCACCAAUAACAACCACAUGAAAGGCCUAAUGAAGACGAAAGCCAGACAUAACAGGUCCAAAUGCCAAUAUACUUGGAGCAGUUCCACUUUUGGAUCUAAAAGAAAAAAGUACUGAAUUUGCAUCCCAUUCGAGAUUAUCCACUGACCAAUCAUCUGAGAGAAUGGGUGUCUUUGGGUUGGUAUUCUCUUGUUGAAAUUCAUAGCUGGGAUGAGAACUUUUAGGUUUUGACAAAAUGAUUAAUGAAAAAAAAUGAACCAUGUUUGAAUGAGUGAGGAAAAUACAGCAGGAGAUGUGGCAUAAUAAAUACGACCUCAUGAGAAAUUCCUACAAUGUUGGCUUGAUCACUAGUUGGAAGUCAUGGUGGAUGUGCAUGAAGUUCAUUUUGGAUAUGAGAAGUGAAGCCAAGUACAAGCUGCAUUGGAUGAAGAGUUAGCAGUGCUGAAAUAAGUGGAAUACAUGCUUGGGGAAGAUAAAGAUAUAUCACUGAUUCCAGCAGAUGAUGAAGUAGAACCAGUGGUAAAAACGGGCCUUUCCCAGAUUUGUUCUUCAUUCGAAAAGGAAUUAUCUUCAUUGCUUUUGGAGCCUGAUCUUACAUCCGAGACAGUGGAGGGUAUAGAACACCGGGAAACCACGUGUCAUUUGUGAUGCCCAAUCACCUCAACUCACAUGCAGAUUAUCUUUCACAUCUUUUGGGUUGGAAUUAUUAAUAUCUUGUCCUGCAUCUGUUGGGUUUUCUCUUGGUUGUACUGAUGAUCCUAAUGCAUUGGAAAUCUCAUCUCUUGUUCCCUUAAUGCCAAGCUUCCCAUUCUCCAGCCUUUGCAUCUUCACUGUGCGAGAGAGUUAUACACUUUCAGCCAACAUAUCCAUUGUAAGUGCAAUUCAGAAAUAGGUAAGCUUGGGAAAAUGUUUAUGUUGUCAGAUUCUUCUGUUUGCCCCUGGGCGUGAAACAAAAGACACUCAAUAUGGGAUAGCUAAAGUGAAGGGAGUUAGAGGAAUAUCAGGGUACAAGAUGUCAGACACUCAUAACAAGAGGAACAACUCCAUUGGCCUUGGUGCAUUUGACUAGCUUGAUCUAGUGGUGACUAAAUCAGUGAUUCGUUGGGCCAACAUGCACACAUAUCUCUCACUCAUGCCUUUAUGCAUGGCUACAUUCAGGUCACGUGUCCUCUCUAUGUUUCUUCAUCCCCUUUCAUCAUCCUUAAUUUUAAAAAUAUUUUUCCAAAUCCCAUUCUUCAAAUAAUUUUAUAGAUUUUAGUUUGUUCAAAAAUAAUUGUAACUCUUCCAUUUUUCAUCCUUAGCAUUUUUCUUAGGUUUCAAAAUUAUGUCUUUUUUUCAAUAAAAUUUUGCUCCCACUUUUUCUUUUGGCAAGCAAUUUUCAUAACUCUCAGGAUUUUUAAAAAAUGUUUUAAAAUAAGUAUGAAUUUAUUUCCAUAAUUCUGAACAAGGGAAAUUCAUGGGAUUGGUUCAUACAAAAAUAAAUCGGGCAUUGGUGGGGGCCCAACAUAUGUGAUUUUAUAAUUGAUUGAUUGAUCGAUUGAUUCAAUUCUCAUACAUGAUUGAUUUAUCCUGCUCUAUGACAUGCAUGCGAUUAUUCCUUAAUUGUGCACUAACCUCUUUUCUUGAUAGCGCAUUGUGGAUCGUUGCUCAGGUACAUAUCUAUUCACAUCCUGGUCCUUUAUGCAUAUUCUGAUACUCCUAUGUGCAUGAUCGAUUCGAAUAUUCAUUGAUUUUCUCAUUGAUUGCCAUGUCAGCUUUAUUUUAUUAGUAGAGACCCGUUUUAGGGACUUAGAGGAGUGUUACGGUCUUUACCGUACCUUCCCGAUAAGUAACCUGAUUCCCGAGCCCGAUUCGGUUUUUGCACAGACCACCUUUUCCAAAAUAAGGAGUCACACUUAGGGUUUUCUUUCUUAUUUUGUUUACUCCAAGUCAUUUUCUAAUAAAAUCAUUUCUCAAAAUAAAAAUCAAGCUCGCAAUCGAGUGGAAAACGCAUGAGCCGAAAUGCGGGGUCCACAGAUACACAUCUAAUGAUUAAAAUUAGUUCUUAAUAUUUUAUAUUUCUAAAAGUUAGAAUAAUAAAUUUUAAUUAAAAGAAUUUAUUUGAAGUAAUCAUAAAUAGAAAACUAAAAAAUUUAGAUGUUUAAUUAAUUUUAAAAAUGUUUGGAAAUAAUUUAUCAACAAACUAUUCUUAAAACUCUCAAAUUUAAUUUAAAUUAUUUUAUUUAAAGCAAUAUAAAUAUAAUUCACAAAAGCUUUAUAUAUUUAAAUUAAUAAAUUCAACUAUUUAUGUAAACUUAUAAAAAAGAAGAAGUAAUUAUACCUUAAUUUUUAAUAUUUUAAGUUUAUAAAGUUUUUGUCUUAGAUUUAUAACUAAAAAUGUUAAUAGUCAAUAUUUUAAAAUUUUAAAGUUACCAUCAUAAAUUUUUAACUAAAAGUCUAGAUUAUUAUAAAAUAAGUAUAUAAAUUUUUAUAAAAAAUUAAAGAAAAAUCUUAUAUUAUUAUAAUAUAUUACUAUCUAUUAUCUAUUGAUAUAAUAUUAUAGGAUAAUAUAUUAUUAUAUUUUUUAAAUAUAUUUAUUUAUAAAUAUUAUUUAUUAAUGAAUAUCAAAUUUUUAACUAAAUUAUUUAUCAAUUUGUGGAAUCGCAUUUCUGCUUUAUGGGUUCCCACUCAAUGGCGAACUCACUUUUUAUUUGAAAAAUGAUUUAUUGAUUAAAAAAAUGACUUGGAGUCGCCACUUAUUUUUGUUAUAUUUUUAAAAGGUAAAUAAAAUAAAAAAAGAAAACCCAAAGUGUGACUCCUUAUUUGGAAAAGGUGGUAUGUGAAAAACUAAAUCUGGGCUUGGGGGUCAGGUUACUCAUUGGGAAUGUACGGUAAGGACCGUAACACCCCUUUAAGUCCCUAAAAACGGGUCUUUACUAAUAAGAUGAGGCAAGUAUGACAAUUGAUCGAUUAAACAUGAAUACCAAACAAUGAUCAAAUGUGUGAAAGCAAGACAGGCAUGAUAACAAAUAAAUCGAUGAACACAAUCGAGACUACGAGGCAUACCUUAGUCACAAGCUGAGCGCUGUCAUAAGAGACAAGGUUAGUGCACAAAUGUAAAAUAAUCGCAUGCAUGUCAUAGAGUGAGGCAAACCAAUCAAGCAUAACAAUCAAUCAAUCAAUCAAUGAGAAAAUCUCAUAUAUUGGCCCCCACCAAAACCCAAUUGAUCUUACAUGAGUUAAUCUCACCAAUUCCAUUAUUUUGGAAUUACGAUAAUUGUUUUCGUGCUUAUUAAAAUAGUGAAAAACGAGAAAAUAAUUUAAAAAAACAAAGAAAAUCACAGGGCGCAUGCCUGAAUGAAAAAUGGCAGCACGUUUAUUAAAAAUUAGGUUUUGGUGAAUUGGGAUUUUAAUAAAGAAAAGAAAAAUAAAGAAAGAGAAAAAAAAUAAUGAUGAUAAUAAUAAUAAUAAUAAUAAUAAUAAUAAUAAUAAUAAUAAUAAUACUAGAAAAUAAAUAAAUAAAUCGAAUAACACAAACUAAAAUAAUAAAAUAAAUAAAUAAAUAAUUAUAUGAAAUAUGAACGAAUAAAAAUAAUUAAGUUAGGUGAAUAAACAUAUCAAAUUAAUGAAUUUAAAAGAUUUAAAACUAUCCGAAAGACAAAUAUUUGAAAAUCAAGCUUUGAAACUAAAUUGAAAAUUGAAGUUUUAAGAAAUAAAUUGGAAAAUUGGAAUUUUAGAAAAAUAAUUUGAAACUGGGAGUCGUGAAAAUUAGAACUUUGGAAAAUUGAGAAUUAAAUUUGGAAAUUGGAAUUUUGGCGGAUUAUUUAGAAAUGGAAUUUUAGAUAAAUGAAUAAGUGGAUAAAUAAAUGACUAAAAUAAUAAUAAUAACAAAAAUAAUAAAGAUUGGAUAAAUAAUUGUGAAAAUUGGAAUUUUGGGAAUUGAAAAUUGAAUUUAGAAAUCGAAAAUUUGAAGAAUUAUUUAGAAAUGGAAUUUUAAAUAAUUGAAUAAGUGAAUAAAUAAAUGAAUGAAAUAAUAAUAACAACGGAAAUAAUAAUGAUUAGAUAAAUAAUUGCGAAAAUUGGAAUUUUGGAAAUUAGAAAUUGAAUUUAGAAAUUGGAAAUUUGAAGAAUUAUUUGAAGAAAGAAUUUGAAAAAUAAAUGAAUAAGUGAAUAAAUAAAUGAAUGGAAUAAUAAUGAUUGGAUAAAUAAUUGUGAAAAUUGGAAUUUUGGAAAUUGAAAAUUGAAUUUAGAAAUUGGAAAUUUGAAGAAUUAUUUAGAGAUGGAAUUUUAAAUAAAUGAAUGGAAUAAUAAUAAUAACGAAAAUAAUAAUGAUUGGAUAAAUAAUUGCGAAAAUUAGAAUUUUGGAAAUUGGAAAUUGAAUUUAGAAAUCGGAAAUUUGAAGAAUUAUUUAGAGAUGAAAUUUUAAAUAAUUUAAUAAGUGAAUAAAUAAAUUAAUGGAAUAAUAAUAACGAAAAUAAUAAUGAUUGGAUAAAUAAUUGUGAAGAUUGGAAUUUUGGAAAUUGGAAAUAUAAUUUAGAAAUCGGAAAUUUGAAGAAUUAUUUAGAUAUGGAAUUUUAAAUAAAUGAAUAAAUGAAUGAAUUGAAUAAUAAUAAUAAUAAUAAAAAUAAUAACGAUUAAAUAAAUAAAUGUGAAAAUUGGAAUUUUGGAAAUUGGAAACUAGAAUUUGGAAGAAUUAGUUAAAGAUAGAAUUUUAAAAAUGAAUAAAUAAAUAAAAUAAUAAUAACAAAAAUAAUAGUGAUUAAAUGAAUAAAUGUGAAAAUUGGGAUUUUGGAAAUUGGGAAUUAGAUUUGGAGGUCAGAAUUUUGAAGGAUUAUUUGAAGAUAGAAUUUUAAAAAAUAAAUAAGUAAAUAAAUAAAUAAAAUAAUAUUAAUAACGAGAAUAAUAAUGAUUAAAUAAAUGAAUGCAAAAAAUGGAAUUUUGGAGAUUGGAAAUUAAAUUGGGAAAUCGGAAAUUUGAAAAAUUAUUUAAAGGUGGAAUUUAAAAUAAAUAAAUAAGUAAAUAAAUAAAAUAAUAAUAAUAACAAGAAUAAUAAUGAUUAAAUAAAUAAAUGUGAAAAUUGAAAUUUUAGAAAUUGGAACUUAAAUUUGGAAAUAAGAAUUUUGAAGAUAUUUAUUUAAAGAUGGAAUUUACCGAAAUCAAACCUUGACACGUGAUAGAAAAGGAGAAAAAAAAAAAACAAUAAUUCACCAUGCCACUUAGAGAACUUAAAGUGCUCCUGCCACUAAUAAAACCUCAUGCCACAAUACACCAAAUCAAGAAAAAGAAGGCCAUCACUACCCGCCACCCAUUUUUUAAAUAAUAAAAAUAAAUCCUUCAGGAAUUGCCAUUCCACAACCAACUCUAUCCACUUUACUCUUUCAAAAAUUCUUCUGUUGUGCUCUUCUAAAUCAAGCAAAAAACACAGAGAGGCUGAGAGGGGUCAUCCUUCCAAACUGCCUUAGAAUUGCUACAAUAGAGGAGCCACUAUGUGAACAAAGCAGCAUCUCUCUGAUUUGACCAUGAAAGAACCCAGGACAUCCUGAACAAGGAGAAAAUCAAUGCCCACAAACUAGAAGACCAUCACAAAGAAUGACUAAUGAGGAUGUGCUCCACCAGCUCCAUCAAAUGCAAGCGGAUAUUGCUAGCUCACAAAACUGCUACUUUAUGCACCAUGACCAAAGAAGGCAGAUUUGAGGACAAGUGAACGGACGUUGGAAGCACAUGGCGGUGAAGCCAAGCUUAACCCAACACCAAUGGGGACUUUCAUAGCCUUUUUUUUUUUUUUUUGGGAAACAAAUUUCUAAAGAGAGAAAGCGUAGGAAAAUGUGAGGGUUUUCCACUCCCACACCUUUGAUUGUUUGGGUUCAUUCUUCUUGUCCCUUCUUCCUGGUUUGUGGUGUGUGAAGGAAAUGAAAAUGGCCAUGCAUGCAGAUUCUUUUGCAUGAGUGAGAAAUGAGUAGUGGGGCAACCGGGUGUGAUGGGUAGCCAUGCAUAUGGCUUCAUGCACGUGAGAAAAGGGUGGGAAUGAGCUGAAAAUGAGUAUUGGUGGGAGAAAUGGGUCUCAUGGGCAUUUGAAAAAUGGUCACGUGGUGUAGAGAGAGAAGAUGGUGGUGAUGGGUAUGUCGGUAAGAAGGAUGAUGAGAUGAGGGUGACCAUGCAUUUUGGACCUCAUGCACAUGGGGAAAUGGUGGAAGUAAGUUGAAAGUGGGUUAGAUGGGCGAGCAAGAAGGGUGGUGGAGUGAUGAGGAUUAAGCAAACACUAGAACAUAAAACACAUGAUGAUACGGAGCCCCAUUACAAGUGACACCCAUGAGCUUAAAGUGAGUGAGAUUAACAAAGAAAAUAAAUAAGGGUCCCAUAUGUCAAGCUUCAGAAAUGAACUCAUGCAUCAAUCUUGUACAGAGAAAGGCAAAGGAACCCCAAAAACGGAGCAUGCACAUGGAAGAAUAAAUUCAACCAAGACAAACAAAUGGCUCUUCCUAUCCAUACCGAAACAGGAAGUUGAUGCCCAAAAAAUAAGAAAAAAAAAAGUUGAAAAUGAGAAUAAAAAGCCCUAUGGAAGUGAGAAAACAAGGAGCUAUAUUAGUCAAACCUGAAAAGCCCUCCUCAAGCAAAAAGUUGCUCGUCUUCGAGCUCCCCUACUCUAAGAAUGAUUUCUUCUUUCACUCAGUUGCUUGCAUGCUCCAACUUUCUUCCUCCUCAAGUUGCUUUCUAAGGCUCCUCACUAGUUCACUCUCCAGUUCUCUUCAUGUGCUCUCAGUUGGUAUCUCCCUCAAAAUCGUUCCCUCGUAACUACAAAAAACUUUUUUUUUUCUCCUCUCCCCCGUUUGCUAUGUCAAAAAAAUCUUUUUUUUUUUUCUAAAAAUCCCCCAGCCAGCUCGCAGAACACGCUCUCCCUGUCCCUUACAGCUCACCCCUCCUCUGUAACCCACCACCUUUUUGUUCAGUUUCUUCCUUUUCAAAUGGUUGUCCCUUUUGUACCAAGCAACUUACCCUUCCUUUUCCUUCUUGCUUCCCGUCCUCUUUAGCUGCCCAAUAUAACCAAGGAUGAAAAUAUCGGUAAUCACGGAUAUAUCGAUAUUUCGAUUUUACGGAUAUAUCGGAGAUAUAUUGGAUAUAUCGGAGAUAUAUUGGAUAUAUCGGAGAUAUAUCGAUGGAUUUUUUGGAAAAAAAUAUCAGUAAGCUUAAAAUUGUUAAAAACUCAUGAAAAUGUAAGGAAAACCUCAUAAUAAUAUAAUUAUAAGUAUAAUAGACAUUUUAAAGUUAUUUUAUUGAAAAUUUUGAUAUAUGUAUAACAUGAUUUAUCAUAUUUGAUAAUAAUAUCGUAUGCAUUGAUAAAAAUAUGAAUUUUAUAAGUGUACAUUUAUUAUUAAAUUACACCUAAUAUUAUGAUAUUUGAUUAUAAUAUAUCUAAUUUUAAAAUAUAUAUUAGUAUUAAAAUAUGAUCCAUUUAAUUCAAUUGUAUUAAACAAUAUAAAAUAAAUAAUGAUAUAUAUAUAAAUUUUUAAUAUUUAAUUAAUUAUUAAUGAUAUUAAAAAUAUUAUGAAGAAAAUUAUAUAAUUUUUAUAUUUUUGGUAAUUAAUUAAAAGACUUUGCAUUUAAUUAUAAAAUAAUUAUUAUUAAUUUGCUCUUUAAAAUAUUCUUAUAUUUUCUUUAUAUAAUGAGUUUAAGUAUAUAUAUAUAUUUGUUGCAUAUUAUGUAUCAAAGGACAAGUUAGCCCAGGUGGUACCCCAAACCUUUUGGUUUGGGGUUCAAAUCGUCUCGGCUCCAAGCAAAUGGAUAGGCACUGUAGCAACAUUGUAGCAACAUCGCCGAAAUAUCGCUAUCAGUCUUCUUUGGUUGCCAGUCUUGUCUAGCCGUCCCUUACAGCACAUUCUUGAGUUGAUGAAGAAGAAGAUAUAAUAAAAUAGUAAUAAAAAAAACCAAAGAAAUGCCCCCCAUUUGAGGGGGUCCACACAAUCACAUAAAUAACAAAUCUUUAUGGAUGAUUAAUUUAAAAAUGGAGAUCAAAAUAACUUCUUUUUUUUUUUUGACAUAUCUAGAAAUAUUAGGAUAAUUUCGAUUUAUAUGAUUUAAGAAAAAUAUAUCACAUAUAAUAUAAAUAUAAAAAUUAAGUUAACCACUUAAUUAUAAAAAUAUAAAAAUAUAAAUUAUUUUAAAAAAUAUAAAAGAUAAUUUUAUAUUAUUAUAAUAUAUUAUGUAUUAAUAUAAUUGUGAAUCCAUGUUUUUCAUAUCAAUCACCUUUUAUUUGAAAAAUUGAUAUUUUUUUCUUUUUUCUUUUUUCUUUUUUUAAUUGUUUUGCUCUUUCCUUCCGUAGAAAUUCUCCAUCCCCUCUUUUCUCCGUAGAACUUUUUCCUUUUUGGUUCGCCUCCUAGCCAGCCACCCUCUCGAAAUAUCUCUACAACAACAUAUCCUACCCUCGCAGCCUUACCCUCUCUUUCCUGUAACAACCAUCUGCAGGGACUAGGAGAGAAUAUGUUGUCUCCAAUCCAAGUGGUCCCAAAAAAGAUGUGAAAAGGGGGCCCAAAAUGGGGUCUAUAAAAAUAUAGUUGAUUUAUCUAUUUAUAAGUAUUAUUUAUUAAUUAAUAUCAUAUUUUAAUUAAUUUUAAGGUAUUUAAAGUAAAUAACUUACAUUUAAAUUAUUGUUUUUUAAUAAUAAAGAUAUAUAUAUAUAUAUAUAUCUCUUAAAAUUAAUUUAAAUUAUUUUAUUAAUAAAAAAUUAAUUCAUUCAUUGUCUUUAAAAAAAUUAUCUCUUUCAUGGUUUUAGUUAUAAGACUUGUAAAUUUUAUUUUUAAAAUAAUUAUUAAUAAUAAAUAAUAUUAAAAUUCAAAAUUCUUGUUAAAAAAAAGUAAAAUGAUUAAAAGAUAUGGUACAAAACAAUAAUUUAAAUGUAAGUUAUUUACUUUAAAUACCUUAAAAUUAAUUAAAAUAUGAUAUUAAUUAAUAAAUAAUACUUAUAAAUAGAUAAAUCAACUAUAUUUUUAUAGACCCCAUUUUGGGCCCCCUUUUCACAUCUUUUUUGGGACCACUUGGAUUGGAGACAACAUAUUCUCUCCUAGUCCCUGCAGAUGGUUGUUACAGGAAAGAGAGGGUAAGGUUGCGAGGGUAGGAUAUGUUGCUGUAGAGAUAUUUCGAGAGGGUGGCUGACUAGGAGGCGAACCAAAAAAGAAAAAGUUCUACGGAGAAAAGAGGGGCUGAAGAAUUUCUACGGAAGGAAAGGGCAAAACAAUUAAAAAAAGAAAAAAGAAAAAAGAAAAAAGAAAAAAAUAUCAAUUUUUCAAAUAAAAGGUGAUUGAUAUGAAAAACAUGGAUUCACAAUUAUAUUAAUACAUAAUAUAUUAUAAUAAUAUAAAAUUAUCUUUUAUAUUUUUUUAAAUAAUUUAUAUUUUUAUAUUUUUAUAAUUAAGUGGUUAACUUAAUUUUUAUAUUUAUAUUAUAUAUUAAAAAACAAUAAUUUAAAUGUAAGUUAUUUACUUUAAAUACCUUACAAUUAAUUAAGAUAUGAUAAUAAUUAAUAAAUAAUACUUAUAAAUAGAUAAAUCAACUAAUAUUUUUAUAGACCCCAUUUUGCAUCUUUUUUGGGACCACUUGGAUUGGAGACAACAUAUUCUCUCCUAGUCCCUACAGAUGGUUGUUACAGGAAAGAGAGGGCAAGGCUGCGAGGGUAGGAUAUGUUGUUGUAGAGAUAUUUCGAGAGGGUGGCUGGCUAGGUGAUGCGACUCAUGGUAGCUUAGCUUUAAAGGCGUAUCAACAAAAUUUAUACCUUGAAUACUAUUACUAAAGUAGCCAAGCUACUAUAGCAUAGUGGUUCUAGGAUCGUUCACUGGGAAGGGUUUUCGCAAACACAAGUGAUAUUCAAGUUAGGAAAAUAGGUGAUUUUCUUAUGGAUGUUAGCUUUAAAAGAAGAUGUAAAUGUUUUAGAAAGAUUUAAACUAAUCUAAGCUAACAUUAAAGACUAAAAUGAAAGGGUGUAAAAACAAGUUUCUCAAAGAUAGGAUAGCUAUGCUCUGGCUCUUAUGCAAAUUGGAAAUCUCAGGAUAGGCUCCUCGCGUUGGGGUUGCAACUAUGGUGAUGCUUGCUUCCCGAACCGGUAUGGAUUUAGCAAAUCACGUUUUAAUCCUUUAAAAUGGCAAAACAGAUGGUAGUGAAUUUCAUCAAUGGUUAUUCACCUUAGACUUCCUUUGAAUGGCUCGUAAGAGAUAACUAAUGGUCUAAAGCCAAAAGCUUACCAAAUAUUGGCAACUCAAAGUCAUUCCAGGUGAUAAACUCACCUUUCAAUGGCAAUUGAAAUUGGUUCNNNNNNNNNNNNNNNNNNNNNNNNNNNNNNNNNNNNNNNNNNNNNNNNNNNNNNNNNNNNNNNNNNNNNNNNNNNNNNNNNNNNNNNNNNNNNNNNNNNNNNNNNNNNNNNNNNNNNNNNNNNNNNNNNNNNNNNNNNNNNNNNNNNNNNNNNNNNNNNNNNNNNNNNNNNNNNNNNNNNNNNNNNNNNNNNNNNNNNNNNNNNNNNNNNNNNNNNNNNNNNNNNNNNNNNNNNNNNNNNNNNNNNNNNNNNNNNNNNNNNNNNNAAUUACAUCAAAAAUACAAAAAGAAAAUAUCUAAAGUGGAGUCAGCAAAAACAGAGCAAAAUUCGCACCACGCAUGGGGUGUGCGAAAUUUUCGCACACUGAGGGGGGUGUGCGAGUUUCGCACACCAUUCGCACACCUUUCGCACACCUGGAGCAGUUGUCUUCCGAAGGCCAUAUCUUCCUCAUUUCAGCUCCAAAUCAUACACGGUUUGAAGCGUUAGAUUCUUGACUUCCUGAGCUUUGAAAUGGUAUAUAGCAUGUAGAAAAUGGACUUCAGGAAGUGCUCCAAAAGUGCCAAAGAAGACUGCAGCUGCCGUCCUCUGUUUUCCUCUUUGCUUUUUUUUGCUUCUCUUUGCUUCUCUUUGCUUCUCUUUGCUUUUCUCCUUUUGUUGGCUUGCUUUGGUGUAGCUAAAAGCUUGCUUUAACUUGUCCAAGUAGCUCCUCCAUCAUUUGGCAUGCUUGAAUUGAUUCAUAAGCUGAUAUAAACAUGUAAACUUGCCACAAAAUGGUUAAAACCAAUUACUAAGGACCUUAAUGAAUUAAUUGGGUUAAAUGAAUAUGAUUACUACUCAAAGGUGCUUAAAACCAUUAUAAUUAGGUCUACAAAAUAGCACUUUUUGGUAGUAAUCACUAGGAGGCGAACCAAAAAAGAAGAAGUUCUACGGAGAAAAGAGGGGCUGAAGAAUUUCUACGGAAGGAAAGGGCAAAACAAUUAAAAAAGGAAAAAAGAAAAAAGAAAAAAGAAAAAAAUAUCAAUUUUUCAAAUAAAAGGUGAUUGAUAUGAAAAACAUGGAUUCACAAUUAUAUUAAUACAUAAUAUAUUAUAAUAAUAUAAAAUUAUCUUUUAUAUUUUUUUAAAUAAUUUAUAUUUUUAUAUUUUUAUAAUUAAGUGGUUAACUUAAUUUUUAUAUUUAUAUUAUAUAUUAAAAAACAAUAAUUUAAAUGUAAGUUAUUUACUUUAAAUACCUUAAAAUUAAUUAAAAUAUGAUAAUAAUUAAUAAAUAAUACUUAUAAAUAGAUAAAUCAACUAUAUUUUUAUAGACCCCAUUUUGGGCCCCCUUUUCACAUCUUUUUUGGGACCACUUGGAUUAGAGACAGCAUAUUCUCUCUUAGUCCCUGCAGAUGGUUGUUACAGGAAAGAGAGGGUAAGGCUACGAGGGUAGGAUAUGUUGCUGUAGAGAUAUUUCGAGAGGGUGGCUGGCUAGGAGGCGAACCAAAAAAGAAAAAGUUCUACGGAGAAAAGAGGGGCUGAAGAAUUUCUACGGAAGGAAAGGGCAAAUAAUUUAAUUGAGGAUAUGAGAAAAAGGAAACAAAUAUCAGUUUUUCAUAUAUAAGGUGAUUGUUAUGAAAAACAUGGAUUCACUAUUUUAUUAAUANNNNNNNNNNNNNNNNNNNNNNNNNNNNNNNNNNNNNNNNNNNNNNNNNNNNNNNNNNNNNNNNNNNNNNNNNNNNNNNNNNNNNNNNNNNNNNNNNNNNGCAAAUAAUUCUUCAGCCCCUCUUUUCUUCGUAGAACUUUUUCUUUUUUGGUUCGCCUCCUAGCCAGCCACCCUCUCGAAAUAUCUCUACAGCAACAUAUCCUACCCUCGCAGCCUUACCCUCUCUUUCCUGUAACAACCAUCUACAGGGACUAGGAGAGAAUAUGUUGUCUCCAAUCCAAGUGGUCCCAAAAAAGAUGUGAAAAGGGGGCCCAAAAUGGGGUCUAUAAAAAUAUAGUUGAUUUAUCUAUUUAUAAGUAUUAUUUAUUAAUUAAUAUCAUAUUUUAAUUAAUUUUAAGGUAUUUAAAGUAAAUAACUUACAUUUAAAUUAUUGUUUUUUAAUAAUAAAGAUAUAUAUAUAUAUAUCUCUUAAAAUUAAUUUAAAUUAUUUUAUUAAUAAAAAAUUAAUUCAUUCAUUGUCUUUAAAAAAAAUUAUCUUUUUCAUGGUUUUAGUUAUAAGACUUGUAAAUUUAAUUUUUAAAAUAAUUAUUAAUAAUAAAUAAUAUUAAAAUUCAAAAUUCUUGUUAAAAAAAGUAAAAUGAUUAAAAGAUAUGGUACCAAUCAUUAUUAAUUAUUUAAAGUAAAUAACUUACAUUUAAAUUAUUGUUUUUUAAUAAUAAAGAUAUAUAUAUAUAUAUCUUAAAAUUAAUUUAAAUUAUUUUAUUAAUAAAAAAUUAAUUCAUUCAUUGUCUUUAAAAAAAAAUUAUCUCUUUCAUGGUUUUAGUUAUAAGACUUGUAAAUUUUAUUUUUAAAAUAAUUAUUAAUAAUAAAUAAUAUUAAAAUUCAAAAUUCUUGUUAAAAAAAGUAGACCCCAUUUUGGGCCCCCUUUUCACAUCUUUUUUGGGACCACUUGGAUUGGAGACAACAUAUUCUCUUCUAGUCCCUGCAGAUGGUUGUUACAGGAAAGAGAGGACAAGGCUGCGAGGGUAGGAUAUGUUGUUGUAGAGAUAUUUCGAGAGGGUGACUGGCUAGGAGGCGAACCAAAAAAGAAGAAGUUCUACGGAGAAAAGAGGGGCUGAAGAAUUUCUACGGAAGGAAAGGGCAAAACAAUUAAAAAAGGAAAAAAGAAAAAAGAAAAAAAUAUCAAUUUUUCAAAUAAAAGGUGAUUGAUAUGAAAAACAUGGAUUCACAAUUAUAUUAAUACAUAAUAUAUUAUAAUAAUAUAAAAUUAUCUUUUAUAUUUUUUUAAAUAAUUUAUAUUUUUAUAUUUUUAUAAUUAAGUGGUUAACUUAAUUUUUAUAUUUAUAUUAUAUAUUAAAAAACAAUAAUUUAAAUGUAAGUUAUUUACUUUAAAUACCUUAAAAUUAAUUAAAAUAUGAUAUUAAUUAAUAAAUAAUACUUAUAAAUAGAUAAAUCAACUAUAUUUUUAUAGACCCCAUUUUGGGCCCCCUUUUCACAUCUUUUUUGGGACCACUUGGAUUGGAGAUAGCAUAUUCUCUCCUAGUCCCUGCAGAUGGUUGUUACAGGAAAGAGAGAGUAAGGCUGCGAGGGUAGGAUAUGUUGCUGUAGAGAUAUUUCGAGAGUGUGGCUGGCUAGGAGGCGAACCAAAAAAGAAAAAGUUCUACGGAGAAAAGAGGGGCUGAAGAAUUUCUACGGAAGGAAAGGGCAAAUGUGAAAAUUGGAAUUUUGGAAAUUGGAAACUAGAAUUUGGAAGAAUUAGUUAAAGAUAAAAUUUUAAAAAUGAAUAAAUAAAUAAAUAAAAUAAAAUAAUAAUUACAAAAAUAAUAGUGAUUAAAUGAAUAAAUGUGAAAAUUGGAAUUUUGGAAAUUGGGAAUUAGAUUUGGAGGUCAGAAUUUUGAAGGAUUAUUUAAAGAUAGAAUUUUAAAAUAAAUAAUAAAUAUAAUAANNNNNNNNNNNNNNNNNNNNNNNNNNNNNNNNNNNNNNNNNNNNNNNNNNNNNNNNNNNNNNNNNNNNNNNNNNNNNNNNNNNNNNNNNNNNNNNNNNNNGAAUUUUGAAGGAUUAUUUAAAGAUAGAAUUUUAAAAAUAAAUAAAUAAAAUAAUAAUAAUAACGAUUAAAUAAAUGAAUGCGAAAAAUGAAAUUUUGGAGAUUGGAAAUUAAAUUGGGAAAUCGGAAUUUUGAAAAAUUAUUUAAAGGUGGAAUUUAAAAUAAAUAAAUAAAAUAAUAAUAAUAACGAGAAUAAUAAUGAUUAAAUAAAUAAAUGUGAAAAUUGAAAUUUUAGAAAUUGGAACUUAAAUUUGGAAAUAAGAAUUUUGAAGAUAUUUAUUUAAAGAUGAAAUUUAAGGAAAUCAAACCUUGACACGUGAUAGAAAAGGUGAAAAAAAAAAUAACAAUAAUUCACCAUGCCACGUAGAGAACUUAAAGUGCUCUUGCCACUAAUAAAACCUCAUGCCACAAUACACCAAAUCAAGAAAAGGAAGGCCAUCACUACCCGCCACCCAUUUUUUAAAUAAUAAAAAUAAAUCCUUCAGGAAUUGCCAUUCCACUACCAACUCUAUCCACUUUACUCUUUUAAAAAUUCUUCUGUUGUGCUCUUCUAAAUCAAGCAAAAAACACAGAGAGGCUGAGAGGGGUCAUCCUUCCAAACUGCCUUAGAAUUGCUACAAUAGAGGAGCCACUAUGUGAACAAAGCAGCAUCUCUCUGAUAUGACCAUGAAAGAACCCAGGACAUCCUGAACAAGGAGAAAAUCAAUGCCCAUAAACUAGAAGGCCAUCACAAAGAAUGACUAAUGAGGAUGUGCUCCACCAGCUCCAUCAAAUGCAAGCGGAUAUUGCUAGCUCACAAAACUGCUACUUUAUGCACCAUGACCAAAGAAGGCAGAUUUGAGGACAAGUGAACGGACUUUGGAAGCACAUGGCUGUGAAGCCAAGCUUAACCCAACACCAAUGGGGACUUUUGUAGCCUUUUUUUUUUUUUUUGGGAAACAGAUUUCUAAAGAGAGAAAGUGUAGGAAAAUGUGAGGGUUUUCCACUCCCACACCUUUGAUUGUUUGGGUUCAUUCUUCUUGUCUCUUCUUCCUGGUUUGUGGUGUGUGAAGGAAAUGAAAACGGCCGUGCAUGCAAGUUCUUUUGCAUGAGUGAGAAACGAGCAGUGGGGCAACUGGGUGUGAUGGGUAGCCAUGCAUAUGGCUUCAUGCACGUGAGAAAAGGGUGGGAAUGAGCUGAAAAUGAGUAUUGGUGGGAGAAAUGGGUCUCAUGGCCAUUUGAAAAAUGGGGACGUGGUGUAGAGAGAGAAGAUGGUGGUGAUGGGUAUGUCGGUAAGAAGGAUGAUGAGGUGAGGGUGACCAUGCAUUUUGGACCUCAUGCACAUGGGGAAAUGGUGGAAGUAAGUUGAAGGUGGGUUAGAUGGGCGGGCAAGAAGGGUGGUGGAGUGAUGAGGAUUAAGCAAACACUAGAACAUAAAACACAUGAUGAUACGGAACCCCAUUACAGGUGACACCCAUAAGCUUAAAGUGAGUGAGAUUAACAAAGAAAAUAAAUAAGGGUCCCAUAUGUCAAGCUUCAGAAAUGAACUCAUGCAUCAAUCUUGUACAAAGAAAGGCAAAGGAACUCUAAAAACGGAGCAUGCACAUGGAAGAAUAAAUUCGACCAAGACAAAUAAAUGACUCUUCCUAUCCAUAUUGAAACAAGAAGUUGAUGCCCAAAAAAUAAUAAAAAAAUAAAGUUGAAAAUGAGAAUAAAAAGCCCUGUGGAAGUCAGAAAACAAGGAGCUAUAUUAGUCAAACCUGGAAGGCCCUCCUCAAGCAAAAAGUUGCUCGUCUUCGAGCUCCCCUACCCUGAGAAUGAUUUCUUCUUUCUCUCAAUUGCUUGCCUACUCCAACUUUCUUCCUCCUCAAGUUGCUUUCUAAGGCUCUUCACUAGUUCACUCUCCAGUUCUCUUCAUGUGCUCUCAGCUGGUAUCUCUCUCAAAAUCGUUCCCUCGUAACUACAAAAAACUUUUUUUUUUCUCAUAUCCUCCGUUUGCUAUGUCAAAAAAAUCUUCUUUUUUUUUUUUUCUAAAAGUCCCCCAGCCAGCUCGCAGAACACGCUCCCCCUGUCCCUUACAGCUCACCCCUCCUCUAUAACCCACCACUUUUUUUUUUUUUCUUUUUCUUUUUUUUUUUUUUUUCAGUUUCUUCCUUUUCAAAUGGUUGUCCCCUUUGUACCAAGCAACUUACCUCUUCUUUUCCUUCCUGCUUCCCGUCCUCUUUAGCUGCCCAAUACAACACAUCCAUCAGUCUUCUUUGGUUGCUAGUCUUGUCUAGCCGUCCCUUACAGCACAUUCUCGAGUUGAUGAAGAAGAAGAUAUAAUAAAAUAGUAAUAAAAAAACCAAAGAAAUGCCCCCAUCUGAGGGGGUCCACACAAUCACAUAAAUAACAAAUCUUUAUGGAUGAUUAAUUUAAAAAUGGAGAUCAAAAUAACUUUUUUUUUUACAUAUCAGGAUAAUUUCGAUUUAUAUGAUUUAAGAAAAAUAUAUCACAUAUAAUAUAAAUAUAAAAAUUAAGUUAACCACUUAAUUAUAAAAAUAUAAAUUAUUUAAAAAAAUAUAAAAGAUAAUUUUAUAUUAUUAUAAUAUAUUAUGUAUUAAUAUAAUUGUGAAUCCGUGUUUUUCAUAUCAAUCACCUUUUAUUUGAAAAUUUGAUAUUUUUUUUCUUUUUUCUUUUUUCUUUUUUUAAUUGUUUUCUCCUUUCCUUCUACAGAAAUUCUUCAGCCCCUCUUUUCUCCGUAGAACUUUUUCUUUUUUGGUUCGCCUCCUAGCCAGCCACCCUCUCGAAAUAUCUCUGCAGCAACAUAUCCUACCCUCGCAACCUUACCCUCUCUUUCCUGUAACAACCAUCUGUAGGGACUAGGAGAGAAUAUGUUGUCUCCAAUCCAAGUGGUCCCAAAAAAGAUGUGAAAAGGGGGCCCAAAAUGGGGUCUAUAAAAAUAUAGUUGAUUUAUCUAUUUAUAAGUAUUAUUUAUUAAUUAAUAUCAUAUUUUAAUUAAUUUUAAGGUAUUUAAAGUAAAUAACUUACAUUUAAAUUAUUGUUUUUUAAUAAUGAAGAUAUAUAUAUAUAUAUAUAUAUAUAUAUAUAUAUAUAUAUAUAUCUUUUAAAAUUAAUUUAAAUUAUUUUAUUAAUAAAAAAUUAAUUCAUUCAUUGUCUUUAAAAAAAAUUAUCUCUUUCAUGGUUUUAGUUAUAAGACUUGUAAAUUUUAUUUUUAAAAUAAUUAUUAAUAAUAAAUAAUAUGAAAAUUCAAAAUUCUUGUUAAAAAAAGUAAAAUGAUUAAAAGAUAUGGUACCAAUCAUUAUUAAUUAUUAAAAAUUAAUUUUUAAAUAUUAAAUUAUUAAUUUUAUCAUUAGAAUUAUCAUAAUAAAUUUGAAUUUGUAAUAGUAAUAAAUGAAAGACUAAAAGUAAAAUAAGUAUAUAUGACAAAUUUAUGGAUUUGCCAAACAUAAUGAAAAAAAAAAAAGUUAUUUACUCUUAAAAAUAUUUUUUCAAACAUUAAAUGAUAAUUUUCAGAUUUCUUAGAAUUAUUAUAAUAAUUUUAAGUUAUAAAAUUUUAUUUGAAUUAAAUUUUAGGUCAUUAUGAAAAAUAAAAAUAAAAAUAAAUUCAUAUGUGAGCUUUAAUUUUUAUCCAAUAUAAAAAACUGAAUAUAUUUUUUAAAAAUAUUAAAUUAUUGAUAUUUUAUGAAUUUAAUAUAUGGAGUGAUAGUGAAUAAGAAAAGUAUAAAAGAUAUGGUUAUAAAAUUAUAAAAAAAAAUAAAUAAAUCAACAUCAUAUCAUUGACUAAAACUAUAAAAAAAAAAAAAUAAAUCAACAUCAUAUCAUUGACCCACAUGCGCCAUUAGUUUCAUAUGGUAUAGGAGGGGAGAGAAGAAGUGGGUGGGUGAGGGUUGGUGGAGGAGAAAAAGGAAGAGAUAGGAAAGAGGAAAAAUAAAAUAAUAAAGAAAAAAAUAAAUAAUAUAAUAUAAUAUAAUAAUAAUAAUAAUAAUAGCAACAAAUAAAAUGAAUAAAUAAAAAUAAAAAAUAAAAAAAUAAAAAAACAUAAGAAAAGAAUUUGAAAAAUAAUGAAAACUAAAAAUUAAAGGGUGAGUGUGUCAAAAAAACACAUGUAAUUGAAAUUUAAAAUUGAGCUCAAAAUUAAUAUAAAAAUAAAAUUAGGACAAAUUUUAGGGUGUACAAGUUGAUUUAUCUAUUUAUAAGUAUUAUUUAUUAAUUAAUAUUAUAUUUUAAUUUUUUUAUUUUAUAUAUUAUUUUAAUUCAUUUUAAGUUAUUUAACGUAAAUAACUUACAAUUAAAUUAUUAUUUUUUAAUAAUGAAUAUAUAUAUAUAACUCUUAAAAUUAAUUUAAAUUAUUUCAUUAGCAAAAAAAAUAAUUCAUUCAUUGUCUUUAAAAAGGUUAUCUCUUUCGGGGUUCACUUAUAAGACUUGUAAAUUUUAUUUUUAAAAUAAUUAUUAAUAAUAAAUAAUAUUAAAAUUCAAAAUUCUUGUUAAAAAAAAGUAAAAUGAUUAAAAGAUAUGGAACCAAUCAUUAUUAAUUAUUAAAAAUUAAUAACUUAAAUUAAUUUUUAAAUAUUUAAAUUAUUAAUAUUUAAAAAUUUUAUCAUUAGAAUUAUCAUAAUAAAUAUGAAUUUCAUAAUAGUAAUAAAUGAAAGACUAAAAGUAAAAUAAGUAUAAAUAACAAAUUUAUGGUUUUGUCAAACAUUAUGAAAAAAAAAAAAGUUAUUUACUCUUAAAAAUAUUUUUUCAAACAUUAAAUGAUAUUUUUCAGAUUUCUUAGAAUUAUUAUAAUAAUUUUAAGUUAGAAAAUUUUAUUUGAAUUAAAUUUUAGGUCAUUAUGAAAAAUAAGAAAAAAAUAAAUUCAUAUGUGAGUUUUAAUUUUUAUCCUACAUAAAAAACUAAAUAUUUUUUAAAAAUAUUAAAUUAUUGAUAUUUUAUGAAUUUAAUAUCUGGAGUGAUAGUGAAUAAGAAAAAUAAAAAAGAUAUGGUUAUAAAAUUAUAAAAAAAUAAAUCAACAUCAUAUCAUUGACCCACAUGCGCCAUUAGUUUCAUAUAGUAACUAAAGCUACUUUAAAAUUUCUUUUUUGUUACGUGUCUGAUUUUCCAUGCCAUAAAUUUCCUGGGAAUUCAUCCUUUAGAAAGAAAGGAAAAGUAAUGCGCAGCCAUGAACGUACCUUCGUGUGGUUGAACAUUCAAAGCUUCUCCUCUUUAAAAACCUCCCUUAAACCCCUCGCUCCAACUCAUUCAAUUCAGUGUAAAGCGAACCAGCCAUUGCUACAGAGGGAAUCCAUGGAUUCGUCGUCUCUUCUCCUCUUGUUGUUGCUGGGUUUCUUUUGUUUUGCUGAGUUCACAUCCCAUGCUCAACUUAUUCCAGAAGAUGAAGGUAUCACCACUGUAAUCUCACUUGUUCGUUCCAUUUCUGGGGAAAAUGAAACUUGGGUUUUGUUGUUAAAGAAAUCUGGGGAAAAAGAGAAGUAAAUUUGGUCUUUUCGAGCCAUCUGUGCUUUGUUUAAUACUUCACUGCUAUAAUUUUUUGGAAUCUUGUGGAUUUCUCAUGGUUUGCGAGAAUUUUGACAUUUCUGUUUGUCUCACAGUUCUUUAAAUUUUAUGAUGCUCUGGGAAUUCUUAUGGAAACAGAAAAGCAGGCAUAUCAGAUUAUGUUUUAUUUUCUUUUUUCAAAUUUUCCUCUGCUUUCUCUGCUCCCAAACGUUGGCUUAUAUCAUUCUGCUGGAAAAUUGUUUGUGCCUCUGAGCCAUAGCGAAUUUUUUAUCUGAAACGAUAAGCCAUCUUUAGUUACCGGGAAAUAAGAAAUUUUAAAAUAUAUAAAAUUUUAAUUAAUUUAAUUAUAUUUUAUUUUCUUUCGUAUUUAUACACUUGAAAACAAAUGCGAGAAAGCUAGCAUUUUUUUUCUUAUUUAAAAAAAAAAGUCAAUUUAUUUAUUUAUAUUUAUAUUUGUAUUUAUUACCAUGGUGGCAAUGCCAUUUUAUUAAGGAAAAUACAUAUAUUUAUUUUAGUAUUUGGACUUUAUUUCCAUUGAAUUAUUACCUAUAUUGUCAGGAAAUGGUAGAAAAAGAAUGGAAUGAGUCCACUUGAAUUAUCAGACCAUAUUGAAUUCAUCUCUGAGUCAGUCCCAGGUCCACUUCCUGGACUUUGCGCCCACCUAAAUUAAUCUUUAGGCCCACCAAUUUGUCUUGAUUCCAUGGUUGUUUGGAAUAAGGAAAUCGGGUUGCGUGUGGAAAAUUGGAUGAGUCAGGGAUUGUUGUUGAUUGGUAGUGUCGGUGUGAUAUCUACUGGUCUUCAAAGUCAAAGGCAGAAGAAGAACAUUGAUAUGGAUAGGUCUUGACCAUAUGAAAAGCAUAUUUUGGACUAAAAAUACACGUACCAUACAUGUGCCUUUGUUUGAAAAUAAUUAUGAAAAAUAGGUAUUUUGUCAAUUGUUUUUUUGUUUUUUAGGAAAAAAAAUGAAUAAGAAAAUAUAUUUCACAACCAAAAAAUAAAAAAUUGAAAAUAAAUUUAUGUUCUUAAAAACUGAAAAAUAAAAUAUUUUUAGAAAAUAUUUUUUUACUGUUUUCACUUGUUUUGUGAUAAUCAUUUUAAAAACUAAUUAUACAAAUAUAAAAAAAAUAAAACACUAUAAAUAAAAAUUAUUUUAAAAAUAUAAAAAAUAUGUUAACGUUUUAAUUUCCUAAAGAGACUUUUGUACUACAAAAUAUUAUAAAAUAAUUUUGAGAAAAUGUUUUUCAAAACUGUUUUCGAAAAUACUUCCCAAAUAAAGCUUAACUUUUGAAAACUAUUCUAUGAUAAUUUGUUAAAACAAAAUUUUGCUUUGAAACUUAAAACAUUUUUAAUCUGUUUUAUAUGUUUUGAAAAAUAGUUCUUCUCUCAUAUUUUGUAAAACAAAAAUUUGUUAGGAAUUUAAAAUAUUUUAAACCUAUUUUUUAUUUUUUAAAAUUUUUAUAUAACGUCUUUGUAUAAUUAUUUUUUAAAUCAUCUAUUAGAAAAUACCAUAUUUUUUGUUUUUUGAUUGUCAAACAUGUUUUCCUUUUUUUUAUUCUUAGAAACAUAGACAAGUAGGUCAUUCAUGCAGCUUACAUGGUGUGAUCACUUCAAAGGAGAGGUCAUAUGCAAUUAAAAUUUAAUGUAGUAUAAAUUAUUGGCUUGUUUUAGUAGAGGUUUGGCGAGUGUCAUCAAUAGUGCUUUAAAAUUUGGUAAUAUUAGAAGUCACUUUAAGAUUGGAAUUGAUUGUAGAGGAUUACACUUCAUAGAGUUGUUAUCAUUAGUCAUUCUUUUUCUGUACAUUCAUAAAUCCUUAUAACUGAUCAUUUUGUAUCUGCUCUGUAACAGUGCAAACUCUUAGAACAAUAUUCACAAAGCUAAACUACAAAUAUUGGAACAUAAGCCAAACUUCAUGCAGUGGAGGUUUCAAUCGAACCAUCGAUGAUAAUAGUUACAGCAAUGUCGCAUGCAACUGCACCUUCAACAAAGGAAAUGUUUGCCAUGUCACAAACAUGUAUGAUUUUAUUUUCUUGUUCUUCCCUGACAUAAUAUAUAUAUAAAAAAUUCAAUCCAUUAGAUUAAUGGAAAAGUAAUUGCAUGAGUAUAUGGAAUGGAAUAUUAUUUGCUUAAUGUUAAUAGGAAAGAAUUAGUGACAUCUUUGGAUUACAUAGGCAUUAUUUUUCCUUUCUAUCUCUUUGCAAGGCCAUUUGAUUUGUGUGCUUUGUUAAAUUCCCAUUGCAUUCAUGUACUAAAACCUUUUUUUUUUCAUGCAAAAUGAAUUGCCUAAAGUCUAGUGAAUAAAAGCCUUGUCUUUGUUUUAUAUUGAUUCAGUUUCGAUCUCUUGAACUUGAUUUGCAAAUUCCUUGUUUCCAUAUCAAUUAUCAUACGUUAGUGAGCAAUUAAUUCUAUCAUUAAGUCCACUUUCUAGUGGCUGAAUGAAAUGGCCCAAUGCAACUAGAGCUUGUGGAUUUUCACUUGUUCAUAAUGCCAGAGUGCUAAAGAGUAAAUGUUGGUUCCCACACUAUUCGAUCAAAGCUUCAAAUGAUUGUUUACAUUGAUUACUAGGUUUCCUGCCAUAAGUUUGACCUUUUUCACUUUUGAAGAUGAAAUUGAACGUCCAUUUUUUAUUAUACAUAUUAUAAUAUAUGGUUAAAAGAACACUUUGAAGAUCGAUCUAUAAAAGAAUUGAUAUGGUUUGAUUCCUCAAUUGAAUCAAUAGUAUCUCUAGAGUCCGCUUCUUCCCAAUACUAUGCGUGCAAAGAGAAAAAGUAAGGACUACCAUUAAAGCAGUCCAAGCAAGACUUAGAGCGCGUUUGAAAGUGUUUUUAUUUGAAGUAUUUUUAAUUUAAGUGUUUUUGAGAUAAUCACAUAUCAAAUAUUUCUCCAAAAAGUACUACUAGUGAUUUUUCAACUUUUUAAAAGUACUUGCCGAAUUUUGCCAAACGCCUUAUUUUUCUUUACAAACGCCUUUUAUGCUAGAAGUGCUUUCUCAAAUAGUGGAAUCAAUAGCAUAAGUCAAAAAAGGAUUAUGACCAACUACAUUGAUGAACCAAUCCUAUAAAUCCACUUAUGAUAAAACAAGUCCUUAUAGGAUUUCUAGUAGAGUCAGAAAACAUUAAGCAGAAGCACAAUAUGCUUGGGUAUGAGAACUUUAGCCUGACUACCAAGUCUAAUUAUUUUGUUAUACGUCAGUUGUACUUUUCAUUUUCUUAUUUUUUACUUCCUUUUGUGAAUUACAGCCAGCUGAAGGGUCUUGAUUUGGAUGGAACUUUACCUGAUGAGUUUGGAAAUCUUUCUUAUCUGCAAGAACUGUAAGUGACAUGUUUCUCAACAUUGGGAAGUCAAUGGACCAAAUUUGCCUUGAUGUUUCAUUGGGUUUUUCAACUUAUCAAACAAAUUUCUUAACUCACCAAUACCUUAAUCCCUACUACAUGGGGUUGCAGUUUCACUAAAUUAUAGAGGUUAGUUCACUUCUGAUGUGUUUGAAUAUCCCAUGAAAUUAAGUUAGACCAUUGUGUUUCAAAUAACAUUCAAAACAAGUCCAUUGCGUUUACUAUAGUAUUUACAUGAUUUUAUUGCCUUUUUAAAAAAAAAUAAUAAUAAUAAUAAUAAGUGCAGGCAAAGAUUAAAACAAAUGAUCUCAUUUCACUUUUGUUGUGGUGAUUACCAAUUUUUGUGUUUUCUAGUAAUAGUAAUAGACUGGAUAAACUGUCAUGAAAAUUAUUUGAUCAUCAUCAUCAGAUUCAGUUUUUGAUAUUGUACAGUCAUCUCCAGUAUCUGACUUGAACCCAAAUGAGGGAUUCUUCUUUUAUCCGGUGACCAUGUAAAAUUAAAAUAUACUAAGGGAUUCUUUUUUUUUACUAAAGCAGUGAUCUCUCCCGAAACUAUAUCAAUGGAUCGAUCCCUACAAGUCUCGGUCGGCUUUCUCUUACCAUUCUGUAAGUUCUGAUUAAUUGCAUUUGCACUUGUGAGGUGAGGGUCUUGUUUUCCAGUAAUUUACUAAGUACUUCAUAGUUGGGAAAGUUUAACUUUUGGUACACUGCAGUGCUCUUGUUGGAAACAGAAUCUCUGGGUCGAUUCCUGAAGUAAUCAGUAAUAUCAGUACACUUGAGGAGCUGUAAGUCAUGAAACGGAGUUGAAUGUCUAUUAGAGAAAUUAAUGAUGCCCAACCUUGAUUAUAAAUCCAAAUUUACUUUUCCAGGGUCUUGGAAGCUAAUCAGCUUGGAGAACAUCUCCCUCCAAGUCUUGGAAAGUUGAGUCAUUUAAGGAGACUGUAAGAAUGUUGUUCUCAUCCCUUUCCUUAUAUGCAUAUUAAUUAUUCAUUUCUUUUAUUUCAAAUAAUCACCAAGUCCUUGUAUUCUGGUUGUAGUCUUAGCUGCCAAAAUGCCCAAAAUCAAUUUGAGGAAGCUAAUUUUUUGAGUCAAAGACUUUUAUAAUGCAUUUUGUGUGAUGAAAUGACUCAUGGAUAUGGUGAUUGUAUACUGGUUGAGUUCAUUUUCAGUUGCACGAUUGCUUAUUUUUUAGUUCAUUUACAUCGAGUUAAUGAAAAUAAUGGGAAGAUGGAUUUUCAUAUAUCUGAAAGUGCAAUCUACCUUUUUUGUUCUUUUAUCUCCAGGGUGAAUCAUGAGAAAUAUUUAUAACCAAGAACACAAAUAUAGGCAAAUAUGGCUAUGAACUAGGCGGUUUUUAUGGACUGACAGAUGGAAAUUCAUAUAGGCUAUUUCUAUUUUUCUAACAUUAAGAAACCAAGUUUAGUAUUCAUUAAUUCAUCCUAUGAUGAAAUGGAGAUGUAGAGCAUGAUUUGUAAUGCUUCAUAGAGAAUAGAAGUAAAGAUGAUAAGGACUAAUCUGCUGGGUAUUUACACAUUGUGUUUUUAAUGCCAAAGUUCAUCAUUUGGGAAGUUACUUUGUUUUGGAGGGUGAUUAACAUUGUUGGGGAAUUAUUUUUUCUUAAUGUUUUCAACAAAAGACUUUGCAUUGACCAUCUAUUCUGGUUCUGUUGUCUAAUAACUAUUUCCAAGGAAUUCAUUUGUUUUUUUCUUUCGGUGCUCCUACAGUGUUCUUUCUGCAAACAAUUUCACAGGAACAAUACCAGAAAAUUUUCACAAUCUCAAGAACCUAACUGAUUUGUAAGUGGUGUAAUUAUUUGGACAUUUAUCCUUUUAUGCAAAUUUAGCAUUUUCUGAACUGCAUGUACCAUUUGUAGUAGGAUAGAUGGGAAUAAUUUAUCUGGGAAGAUACCAGAUUGGAUUGGGAAUUGGACCAAACUUGAGAAACUGUGAGUGUUAUACUUCAUUUCAUUUAUCUGCCAUUUUGUCCACUUAGAAAAAUUUCAUACAAACUCAGCUAAAUUCUCUAGUAAUCUAUAAACAUAUUAAACUGUUGCAGGUAUCUGCAAGGCACAUCAAUGGACGGGCCCAUUCCUUCUAUUAUAUCCCAGUUGAAAAACUUAACCGAGUUGUGAGCAUGUGUUCCACUAUCUAAUAGUUGCUGUAUUCAGUUCAUGAUGUUAUUCAAGAUUAAAAUUCAAUUCAUAGAAAUGUAAUUAUUUAAUUUGUUUUGUUGUAUCUUAAUCAUCAGGUUAAUAUCUGAUUUGAGUGGACCGAUUACAUCUUUCCCCAAUUUGAAGGAUAUGAACAAAUUAAAAACAUUGUGAGUUGAAGAUAGAUAUAUUUCAUGAAUCAUGACAAGCUGCAGUCCUAAGUUAUCCACAUUAUGUUCCAUUAACUUAUCAAGAUGUUUUACCUCAUUUGUGUUAUGCAGGGUGAUGAGAAAUUGCUCCAUUACAGGUGAAAUCCCAGAAGACAUUGGAAAUAUUGAAAGUUUAAAACUUUUGUAAGUUUUUUUGAAUGGACAUUCUUAGAGAUGUUCUUAAUUUUCUUCAUUGGUAUAUAUGUAUGUAUGUAAGAAGAAGAAAAAUAUAAUCAGGAUAUAAUUCUCCUAUGGCAUACAAUCAGUACAUUACAUGGUUGUAUGGAAACAACUUUUCUGAUUCAUGUUGAACUUUUUUCUUGCAGAGACCUGAGCUUCAACAGACUGAGUGGUACAAUUCCAAAGAGCUUUAAGCAAGAAAAGAAGGUGAAAACAAAACUCGAUUUCAUGUAAGUUAAAUACUUGUAAUAAAGUACAAGUCUAAAUAUCCAGAAAUCUACAUUUUAUUGGCUCCUUAACCAGUCAUUUUUAUCCAUUAAUAACUUGUUUAAUUAUAACUGAGAUAUGGUGCUAUCUAUGUACACAGGUUUCUCACCAACAACUCACUGACUGGAGAAGUGCCCAGCUGGAUAAGAUCGGACACUGAAAACAAAAUGUUAGUAUUUCUCAGUCUCCAGUUGUUCUGAUUUGGCUAUGAUAUCAUUCAUGUAUUGUACAAUGUUACAUACACAUGUGGUCUCUUUUUAUCAGUGGUUCUUUGAAACCAAAUUAAUAUUUGAGUCUCUCGUUCAAUCAAGAAAUAUAACACUAACUCCAUUUCAAUCUCGGUUGCAGUGAUUUAUCUUACAACAAUUUUACAGGGCCACGGCUUGAUUCUUGCAAACACCAAGUGUAAGCUUUCUUCCUUCCAUUAUUUGUACAUUUGGUUCUGUUUUUCCCUCAUCUUCUUGAAACAUUUUUUCACAACUCCACAGGAACUUGGUUUCCAGCUAUGCAUCUUCAGCAAGAAACAUGUAAGUUCUUCCAACCUUGUUUUACAUGUGCAUUCAGCAUUAGAAUUAUAAACAGGAGACUGAAUCAUAGUUCAACUUUCUAGGACCCCUUGGUGCUUACAGAAGGAUCUCCCUUGCUCUAGAAAAGCCAAAUGUAAGCUUUUGUAACCUAUUGUACUCUGUUAGUAUGAAGUGGCAAAUAAGUUGAAUCUCUGCCUUGAUUCCAGUUACAUUUAAUUGCAGACUAUUCCUUGUAUAUCAAUUGUGGAGGAGAGGAAACAACUUUUAAAGGGAAGACAUAUGAAAAAGACAAUAAUGUUGAGGGUGCAUCACAGUUCUUUACUGAUAGUCUAGACAAAUGGGCUUAUAGCAGUACAGGGGUUUUCAUAGGCAACCGGCAUGGUAGUCACCUAGCUAAAAACGAAUCUGCUUUGAACUCAAAGGAUGCAGAGAUCUACCAAACUGCUCGUCUUGCUCCCAUCUCACUCAAGUAUUAUGGGCUUUGCUUGCAAAAGGGCAAUUAUAAAGUGCGACUCUACUUUGCUGAAAUCAUGUUUUUUACUAACCAGACAUUUGGUAGCCCUGGGAAGCGCUUGUUCGAUGUUUCAAUUCAAGUGAGUGAAAAUAUCAAUUUCAUUAUCUCUAUUCCAAAUAUGUAAAGAACUGACUGUACUUUUCUACAGGGGAAUGUAGUUUUGAAGGAUUUUAAUAUCAUGGAAGAAGCUAAAGGUGCUGGUAAGGGCAUUUAUAAGGAUUUUGAUGCCUCUGUUGAUGGUAGCACUCUGGAGAUCCACUUAUACUGGACAGGCAAAGGGACUAAUUCCAUUCCGGAUGAAGGUGUAUAUGGGCCUCUUAUAUCUGCUAUUGCAGUGACACCAAGUGAGCUUAUCUCAUAUUCCAGGUUUUACUACUUUUCUCGCCACUAGCUUGUCAUGGUGUUAUAUAUCUUACUGUUCUUGUAGAAUUCAAUCCCAACCCGGGGCUGUCUGUUGGAGGUAUCAUCGGCAUUGUGAUACCUUCAUGUGUGGUCCUCAUAUUGAUUUUGGUACUCUUACGAAUGAAAGGCUACUUAGGAGGAAAAGACCUUGAAGAUAGAGGUGAGAUUAAUCAUGCAGGAAAUUUGUGACUGUAAUGCCUUAUCUCUUUGAAAUUGUGACAAUACUUUGUGUGCUUGUUUUUCACCAAUUUUAUUUCACUUGUUACAGAACUACGUGAGCUAGGGAUGCAAACUGGUUAUUUUAGUUUACGACAGAUCAAAGCUGCUACCAAUAACUUUGACUCUGCAAAUAAGAUUGGUGAAGGUGGAUUUGGGCCAGUUUACAAGGUAGUUACAGAUUUGGAUUUUCCUUUAACAACUGUAUACUAAAGCAGUGAUUAAGAGGGAAAUGCAAUGCUUUUCUGCAGCUAUCUCACAUCCUUGCAUUAUCUGAAUUCAUGAUCCAAAAUUUUGUCCUGCUUGAUCUUAGGGUGUACUGUCAGAUGGUUCAGUAAGUGCUGUUAAGCAGCUCUCUUCUAAAUCGAAGCAAGGGAACCGAGAAUUUGUAAACGAAAUAGGCAUGAUAUCUGCCUUACAACACCCAAAUCUUGUGAAGCUUUAUGGCUGUUGUAUCGAAGGAAACCAGUUGUUGCUCAUAUACGAAUAUUUGGAAAACAAUAGUCUUGCACGUGCACUUUUUGGUAAAUGCUUCACUACGAUUUUGUAUUCCAUUUUAUUAUAUUUCAACAAUGAAUAUUAUGACUUAAGCCUCUACCUCGACCACUUGUAGGUUCUGAUGAACAGCGGCUAAAUUUGGACUGGCCAACUAGGAAGAAGAUAUGCUUGGGGAUAGCAAGGGGAUUGGCAUAUCUUCAUGAAGAGUCAAGAUUGAAAAUUGUUCAUAGAGAUAUAAAGGCAACAAAUGUGCUGCUUGAUAAGAAUCUAAAUGCUAAGAUAUCCGACUUUGGCUUGGCUAAGCUGGAUGAAGACGAGAACACCCAUAUCAGCACACGGAUAGCUGGAACAAUGUGAGUGUUUUCGCUCAUUUCCUCCUGUUAUUAGCUUCCCUAUAUCAAAUUUGUAUAUGAUAUAAGAUUAUAACUUUGGUGCUGAAAAUGUGGAGAUUAAUUUCUUCUAUGCAUUUGAAUUCAUGUCAGAUAAAUAAUAAAUUGAUACAAUGAGAUGGAAAACUUAAUCAAACACUGAAAUAUGGAAUUUCUAAGUAGCAGUUCUUUUUUCCAUUUUAGGUUUAAAAAGCUCAUUCUCUUCAUUGUUUAUUCUGUAAAGUCGAUUGUUGAAACAGCUCUAGAAAGGUCCAACUAUUAUUGAGAAUUUGUUACUACAAAAUCUGAAGCUACAAAAUCUGAAGCAUCAGUGGCUUCGAGGCAUAAGUUGUCAAUCCUCUUUCUCUGGUUUUGGAGAAGCAGAAUUUAGUAAGACUGUCGAGUUUCUGAAGUGGGUUCAUGCAUAUACAGAAAAUUUUGCCUCUCAAAUAUGGUUGAUUAGUUCUUCUUGUCCUCUUUCCAACAAUAAUUUUGUGCAUAUAUUGAUUAUAUGUAUAGCACAAGACUCACCAUUGAGCUGCUGAUUUUUCUUCAGAGGAUACAUGGCUCCUGAAUAUGCAACGAGGGGUUACUUGACCGACAAAGCUGAUGUUUACAGCUUUGGAAUUGUUGCUUUAGAGAUUGUCAGCGGGAAAAGCAACACCAAUUACAGGCCAAAGGAAGAGUUUGUUUAUCUUCUUGAUUGGGUAAACAAUGGAUUCUUGCUCAUCCUUUUUGCUAUAUUUUUUCUGACCAUAUGUGCUUAUAAUGAAGAACGUGUUUCGGGUUCUACAUUGGACUGCAGGCUUAUGUCCUGCACGAGCAGGGAAAUCUUCUGGAGCUGGUGGAUCCAAGUCUUGGUUCAAACUACUCAGAGGAGGAGGUGAUGAGGAUGCUGAACUUGGCCCUCUUAUGCACCAACCAAUCUCCCACUCUCAGGCCACCCAUGUCCUCUGUAGUGAGUAUGCUUGACGGCAAAAUUGCAGUCCAAGCACCAACAAUCAAGCAUGAUUCUAUGAACCCGGAUAUGAGAUUCAAAGCCUUUGAGAAGCUCUCACUGGACAGCCAGUCUCAUGUCUCAGCAUUCUCUGUAGACAGUCAGGUCCAAGGCAGCAUAUCACUUGAUGGACCAUGGAUUGAUUCCUCAAUUUCCCUCCAUAGCAGAGAAGAAACAAGGGACUUUUCUUCAUCAAGCAAGCUUCUUACAGGACACCAAGAUCUUUACAGUAUACAUUUGGACUGAUCAAUGAAAAUAUGGUAUAUUAAUAAUACUUCCAAGUUGUUCUGCAAGAAUGUUUUCUGCAAACUAUUUCGAAUUGAUUCUUGAAGUAGUAGAAGCAGAAAUAAGUAUGUUUUGUUGUAUAAUUACAAUAUUUGUAUAAAAUUAUGUGAAUAAGUGCUCCGGUUGAGGCUU